rnacentral:lncRNA from 1 species
CCGAGGUUGCCCCCGCUGCCGCCGUUGGGGAUGGUGGAGCCGACGGGGGCCAUGAAGAAGGUGAUGCCGUCAGCGGUGAGGUUGGUGGGGCUGGGUGUGAUUAUGAAGUUUACGGUGGUUUCAAAGUCGACUUGGCCGCCGGCUUGGGAGAACUGGACCGGGUUCGAGUGCAAGACCCGGCCGACACUGCCUAUCGUCGGGAAGGUGAGGCGGAGGAAGGGGGAGUUCCAUACGAAAUGGGCGUGGCCUUGGUAGGUGAGAUCGGUCGGCAAGUCGCUCCAGAAGUCGUAGGUGAAGGACGUCGAUUGGGACUGCGCAGUGUUGGCGGCAGCGGCGAGGAGGAGGAUGAUGGAGGAGAGGAGAGGAAUUAGGGUUUGGAGGAGCUUAGCCAUGGCUUAAUUGAGUAUAUUUAGAUGUGGUGGAUGAUGGUGGUAUCUCUUGCUCCUAUUUAUAGUGAAUAGUGUAUAGAGUAUAGUGUAUAUAUGCAUGAUAUUAUGAUUUAAUUUCCUAUGAAUUAUUGAACUUUCAUCAAAUUUUUAUUUUAUAUAUAAACUUCAAAUUAAAUGUAGCGUGAUAAUCACUAAAUUUAUUUAAUCUUAUAUUUGCUACCAAUCAGGAUUCUAGCCAAAUUNAAUAUAUUGGUGUGGGUCCGUGGACGUAGGCAGUUUGGCCGAACCACGUUAAAAAUAUCGGUGUCAUUUUUCUUCUCGUUUCAUAUCGGUCGAUAUCCACAAUAUUGAGUCACACUUGAUCCCGGGCGGAAUUAGUUGUGUCUAAUUUCCCAAUAACAAUCCUGGGCGGAAUUAUUGGCGUCUAUAAUUCCCAACAACAAUAUCAUGGAUGGCGACGUAUGGUUGGCUUAGUCCGCUGGCGGCGGAGAGCCCUACCUGAACCUGCUCGGGAAGAAAGCCGCUCAAAUCGUACUCAUAGAUGACCUCAAACGUCUUCGAGCCGGCGGUGGCACUGACGGUGAUCAUCUUCGUGGCUCCGACGUAGUUGAUCCGCGCAGUCACCUGCUGUCCGACUAAGGCGCCGUCGACCUCUGUCGUGUUGCGGGAUUCCCUAGAUCCGAUGUCGAUACCGAUGUGGGGGUAGUUCGGAUCCCACGGGCUGUUGACAUAGGUGUCAAACUCGACGGCGAAGACAGAUGGGCUAUUUCCGGGAGACUCCGAAGAUUCCGAGGUUGCCCCCGCUGCCGCCGUUGGGGAUGGUGGAGCCGACGGGGGCCAUGAAGAAGGUGAUGCCGUCAGCGGUGAGGUUGGUGGGGCUGGGUGUGAUUAUGAAGUUUACGGUGGUUUCAAAGUCGACUUGGCCGCCGGCUUGGGAGAACUGGACCGGGUUCGAGUGCAAGACCCGGCCGACACUGCCUAUCGUCGGGAAGGUGAGGCGGAGGAAGGGGGAGUUCCAUACGAAAUGGGCGUGGCCUUGGUAGGUGAGAUCGGUCGGCAAGUCACUCCAGAAGUCGUAGGUGAAGGACGUCGAUUGGGACUGCGCAGUGUUGGCGGCAGCGGCGAGGAGGAGGAUGAUGGAGGAGAGGAGAGGAAUUAGGGUUUGGAGGAGCUUAGCCAUGGCUUAAUUGAGUAUAUUUAGAUGUGGUGGAUGAUGGUGGUAUCUCUUGCUCCUAUUUAUAGUGAAUAGUGUAUAGUGUAUAGAGUAUAGUGUAUAUAUGCAUGAUAUUAUGAUUUAAUUGCCUAUGAAUUAUUAAACUUUCAUCAAAUUCUUAUUUUAUAUAUAAACUUCAAAUUAAAUGUAGCGUGAUAAUCACUAAAUUUAUUUAAUCUUAUAUUUGCUACCAAUCAGGAUUCUAGCCAAAUUUACUAUUGACAUUACAAAGUCGAGGAUAUCCUAAGAUGGAUUGAAACAUUAAGAUAUUCCAAGGAUCUUAAUAAUUUCUAUCAUUUGGCAUAAUUUUAUUUGAUUCAUAUCUCAUUGAAAGAAUAUGAUUUUUAUCCCCUCCGUUCACAAAGAUUGUAUGGUGAACUCAGGACAUGAGUUUUAAUAAAUACUUCUUCCGUCCCCAAAAUAACUUUCUAUGAGAGAGGGGCACGAGUUUUAAGAUAAAAUUGUUGAGUGUAUUCGAAGUGGUUAAAAAGUGUUAGUAUUGAAAGUGAUGAAAAUGUGUUAUAAUUAGUAUUUGAAGUGGUGAAAAGGUAAAAAAAUAGAGUAAAUAUAUGGAGUAUAUAUUAGUAGAAAGUGUAGAAAGAUCCACCAAAAUUGAGUGGAGAAAAAGAUCCACUAAAAUUGAUGUGUUAAAUGGUUGAAUAUUUUGUAAAUAUUGAAUGUGAAUGAUGUUUAAAAUGUAAGGGGCGUAGUUUCUAAAUAAAGAAAGCAUACAAUCUUUAUGGACAGACGAAAAUAAUAAUAAACAUACAAUCUUUGUGGAUUGAGGGAGUGAUAAACAUUUCAUUCAUUUAUUGUGGUUUGGAAUCGAUCUUUAUCAACAUUACAUGCAUUCACAAAUAUGAAGAAGGAUUUAAAACGUGUGACACCUUAUUUUAUAUUUAAAAUCGCAAUCACGAAGAGGACCACACUUAUCCUCUAAUCAAUGCUCUCCAUUAUUUUAUAGGAAAGGAUAAACAUGAUUCUUGGUUUAUUUAUGCUUUUAAUAUAUACAAUUAGAUGAUUUUUGGGGCAAAAAGUGAAGAUUUUGAUGUCCGACGGAGUCAAGUAAAGAAGUUGAAAAAAUCGAUUUUUGAUGCAAUUUUAGAAGAUCCAAAGAUGAUAAGAUCUGUGCUUGAGGGAACUUAUUUUGCAUAAGAAAGACUUUCAUUAAUUUCUUAAUUCGAGUAUAAAAUUAGAGGAUUAAAACCACAACUAAUGUUCCUUUGGCUUUUCCUUGAACAAUGUUGGGUAGCUAGUGAAUUUUCUUUGGUAAGUUCGUCCUUUUCUUUGACAAUGAGAAUUGACGUAAAUUGGAUUGUAUUGAAGAUUCUAGUAACAUUAUUCUAGUUUAUAUUUCAUGAUUUAAGGGCUGAAAAUAUGUAAGUAUGUUAAAGGCUAAAUUUUAGGUAAAUAAGUGCUCCAUACUUUGUUAAUAUGCCACUUUACAAAUAAUGUAUGUGUGAACUUGAAUUUGUUUUUUCAUUUAAAGAGAACUAAUAAUGAUAUCCAUUUCCCCCGUGAUGAUUCGAACCCCCAACUUAACAAUUACUGGUGAAACGUUUUAUCCAUGUGAUGACUCUAACCCCCCAAUUUAUAAUUAAUGAUUGGAUGGGAAGCGUAUUGAGGUUGUUAGUGAUUCUUCCAAGGUUAUUUUGUAACUAUGAACUAUCGAUUUUGUAUCAAUUGUACCCUGCAUUUGUUUUUUAGCUAGAGAAAAUAUGAGAAAAGAAAUGAGACAUUUAAAGGCAUAAAUUUUUGUUAUCCCUCAUUUUCUCAUCCAUCAAAGUGAACGCACCCUUAAAUGAUGAUUUGAAAAAAUAAAGUGAUUGUUUCUACGCUAAACCUAAUUGCGUUCGGCCUUUUUCGUUAUUUUAGUAUUUUCCUCAUUUAUUUUCAAUUCUGUUUCCUAUAUAUGGAUAUUUGAUGUAUGAGAAGAUGCUUUCAUAUGAUCCAUUUCAGAAAUAAAAUUAUUUAUUUUCUUUCUCACGAAGAGCGCUCACUUUGACAUCAGUAUCGCAUGAGCUGCACAUAAUUAAUGAAAGAAAAUAAGCAUACACUUGCAUUAUAUAAGAAGAGCAUAUAUACUCGCAGCCGUUUCUCAUAAAUUUCACGCAGUUUUUCGAUCUUUAGAGCCGCCGGCAUGCUCGGCCGAUCUGAAGCUCCAGUAGUCGAUAUCGUGAAGGGCGACGAGGUCGCCGGUGGAGGAGGCGAUUCCGACCUGAACCUGCGACGGAAGAAUUUCCCCCAAAUCAUACUCGUAUUCGAGAAGGCGAGUUUCUUUGUCGCAUUUGAGCGUAACGUCGAUGAAAUUGAUGCCGUCGUAUUGUAUGUGCAGCUGCGCCUCUUUCCCGAUGCACGAAUCGCCAAAUUUCACGAAGUUGCUCGACUUUAUCGAGCUGAUGUCGAUGCCGAUGUGCGGGAGAUCGUGGCUCGGAUCCCAACCGUUGGAGUAGAGGUCGAAUUCCACGGCAAAGAAGGCGGAGGCGGCCGGGCUAUCCCCCGAGGGGUUGAAUAGGCCUAGAUUGCCUCCGUAGGAACCCGGGGGGAUGGUGGUCCCCACGGGCGCCAUGAAGAAGGCGAUGCCGUCCGCGGCCGGGCCUUUUGUGGGGGUGAUGGUGAAUUUUAUGGUGGUAUUGAAAGAUACUACAAUUGAAUUUUCCCACAAUUUGAAGGGUUUGGAGUACAAUACGCGGCCGAUGCUCGACGGCCGUGGAAGGCCGUUGGCGUCGGUCUUGGUUAGCCGGAGGGAACGGGCGCCGUCGGGGACGUGGGCGUCGCCCUGGUAGGUUAGGUCGGUGGAGUUGGCGACGAAGGAGGUGAAGGUGAAGGAGGUCUUUUGUGAGGUCGCCUUGUUUGCUAGCAUUAGGAAAAAUGCUAUGCAAAAGAGGAGAAGAAUUAGGGUUUGUAGAAGCUUGGCCAUGGCUUGAUUUGAUGGGUGGAGUAUUAUUUGGAUGUAGUGAAUAGUGGUUGGCUCUCUAGCCCUAUUUAUAUUGGUUUAAUGCCACAUUCCAUUAUUAGUUUAAUAUAUUGUAGCUCACUAUUUUUUUUGAACUUUAUGGAGAAGGCAUGAGUUUUUUAAAAAAAUUGAGAAAUGUGUAUAAAAUGAAUAAAGAGGCUCACUAAAGUUGAUUUGGCAGGUAUUAAUAAAUUAUUUGUGUGAUGAGUUUUUUGUAAAUAUUGUGUGUGAAUGAGGGUAAAAUAUAAAGGUACAUAUGUCUUAAAAGGGACGGAAAUGACAAAUACUUAUUGUGGAUAAAGGUAGUAUAAUAUACGGAGUGUAUACUUAAGUUUAUCAAUUUUAUUACUAAAUUAAAUAUGGUUAAUUUAAUAUCAAUAUGCUUAUUAGUAAUUAGUAUUACUCCAUUCAUCCCAAAAACAUCAAUCUUUACUUAUUUUUUCGUUCGUCUCCAAAACAUCUUCCUAAUCUAUUUUUAUGUCCUGUAUUAAAUUUUCAAGCUAGUUUCACUCCCCAACUAUCGUUUAAAUUAUACAUACAUAUAUGGACGACUUGAAAAUUUGUUAAGGCAAUUGAUUAUGCCCAUGCCGUAUAGAAUCAAAAACCAUUCCUAAACAAAAAAUAGAAUAAUUAAGAAAAUAAUCUAGAAUAUAAAUAUAGAACUUAAAUUCUUUGCCACAAAUUUAAGUCAAUCAGCCGACAUAGUAAAUGUAUGUGUUUACAAGUAAUCAUGCCUUGUCUUGAGAUUCAAGUUGGCAAUUGAAGCAAAAUUUCUCACACAUAGCUAUCUACUCUAGCUAUGAAAUCAUGCAUUGUCUUGAGAUUUAAUUUGGCCCAUGAAUCCAAAUUUUGCAAUCAUGCCAUGUCUUAAGAUUCAAUUUGGCCCAUGAAACUAAAUUUCUUGAGCCUAUCUCUAACCUCUUUGAUAUUCAUAUAUAAUAACACCUUUAAAACACACACAACCCACUUCUAAAGUUCUACAUGUAUACACACGAACUCAUGCUUAUGUCACAAAUUAAGUUUUUCAAAAAUAAACUUUUCCCUAUUUGAAUUCCUUAUGUAUUCAGUUUGUUUUUAAUAUUUAAACUAUGUUAUUACAACAAAAUUAUCUAGCAGGGACAUGAUUUUAGCAACAUAAAAAAAGAUGUCAUAAAUUUCUUACUCCCUCCGUCCUCCGAAGCUUGAUCAACAAUUUCUUUUCGGCACGGAGUUUAAGGAGUUAAUAUUUUGUAUGUUAAUUAGUGUGGUAGGUGAAAAAAUGAAAAGAUGAAUAACGGGAAAAGUUGUUGCCAUAUAAGGAAAGUGAUCAAGCUUCGCGGAUAACCCAAAAAUGAAUACUGCUCAAGAUUCGCUGGAAGAAUGAAGUACAAUUUUAGGCAUAACAAAAAUUUAUUUACAUCCACACAUGCAUGCACCGAUACUUUAUCACAUGCAAAAUUACAAGUAACUUUGCUAAUUACAAAAAUUAAUACAUGAACCCUCAAAUGUCACUAGAUGUAAUGAUAUUUUUAUAUUUUUUCGACACACAUAAUAGUUACUCAUCACAAAAUAUCAAUAUUUUUAUCAUAUAGUGAUAUUUAUAAGUUUCACAAUUUUUCAAAUAUUAUGUCAAUGCUAGCUUAGACAUUUUGUUUUGACACUUUGUAUUGAAACAUGUUUUUUACAAAAAUAAAAUAAUUGAAUUUAUUAACGAAUAUUUAAACAAUCAAUCAAUAAUAACUACAAAGUGAAGCAAUUCAAGUUAAAAGGUAAAUUCUAAAUUUAAAUUUGAAAAACAAGAAAAUUCGAGCCUUAAUUUUUUUUAUUUUUUUAUAUACGCACUACAAAUCUCCCAUAAAUCUUAAAUCAAAAUUUAACCUUACAACAAAAAAUAAAUAUAUAAACUAAAAUGGAGUAUGAUAAUAUAGUUUUAUCAAAUUAUUUGAUAAUUCUAUUAAUAAAAGAUAAAAAAAAAAAUAAGGGGGGCCCACGGGCAUGCUGCCCCCAUAUGCUAUGGACCAUGGUGGCUAGGUCACUGCGCUCUCGAGAUCUACACUAUUUAUACGUGGUAUUCAUUGCGAAUUAUUUUGCAUUAUCUUUGUUUAUUUUUCUUAUAUUGGGAAAGAAAACAUGAGUAAUAUAUAGUAAUCUUUUAGAAGUCCAGUUACCAAUGUCGUCAAAAUUAUCUUGUCUAUUUUUAGAAGUUCAGAUAAACAUGCAACACAUUUUCAGAAGAAAUUUAAUAAUCUCUUACGAUUUACAUUUAUUUUUUAAAUAAUUAUCUCAGUGGUGAUAAAAUAAAAAAAUCGACUACAUUUUUCUAAGUAAUUUAUUAGAUACAAAAUAUUAUGAUUUAUGUUUGUAUAUUUUUUGUUUCCCAUUAGUGCAUUAUCAUUUCUAAGUAUCUUCUCACUUGUUCACUGAUUCACUAUUGGAUUAACAUGAAUAUACGAAUUUCAUAGUAUACCAACUGUUCGAUAAAAGUCCUAAAAGAAAUCUUCCAUAGAUAACCUUGCAAAUAACAGGAAACUAAAAUUACUCCCAAAGCAUUCCAUACAUAGAGAUGCGGAUUACCUUAUUCGUAGACUUAACGAGAGUACACUCGAUCGCUAGUCCUUAUUUACGACCCAAACUACACAUACAUUACAAAAUCACACAACUUGACGAAUGUUUCCACCGAGCUCCUUCCUGCUCUUGGCAGCGACGCCGACGUUUUGCACCAUGGUGGCCGUGAAAUACCACGCCACGAUGUCGUGUCUGGCGACGACUUGCCCCGUGGAGGCGGAGAGCCCGACUUGGACCUGCUCAGGAAGGAAGCCGCUCAAAUCGUACACAUAGCUGACCUCGAACGCUUUCGAGCCGGCGGUGACGUGGACGUCGAUCAUCUUCGUGGCGGCGGCGUAGUUGAUCCUUGCCGUCACCUGCUGCCCGAUUAUGGAGCCGUCGACCUCCGUCGUGUUGCCGGAUGACCUAGAGCCGAUGUCGAUGCCGAUGUGGGGAUAGUUCGGAUCCCACGCGCCGUUGACGUAGGUGUCGAACUCGACGGCGAAGACCGAGGGGCUGCUGCCGGAGGAGCCGAAGAUUCCGAGGUUGGAUCCGCUAGAGGAGGAAGGGAUGGUGGACCCGACGGGGGCGAUGAAGAAGGCGAGGCCGUCGGCGGCAGAGUUGCCGGGGCCAGGUGUGAUGAUGAAGUUUACGGUGGUUUCAAAGUCGACUUGGCCGCCGGUUUGUGAGAACUGGACCGGGUUCGAGUACAAUACCCGGCCAACUUUGGCGGUCUGUGCGUCGGUGAGGCGGAGGAAGGUGGAGUCCGACGGGAAAUGGGCGUCGCCUUGGUAGGUGAGGUCGGUCGGCUGGUCGCCCCAGAAGUCGUAGGUGAAGGACGUCGAUUGGGACUGCGCCACGUUGGCGGCGGCGAGGAGUAGGGCGACGGAGGAGAGGAGAGGAAUUAGGGUUUGGAGAAGCUUGGCCAUUGCUUAAUUGAUUUGGAUGUGGUGGAUGAUGGUGAUAUGUCUUAAGCUUGCACUCCUAUAUAUACUAGUGUAGUUCAUGCAUGAUAAUGUUGUUUAAUCAUCAUAUAUUUUAUUUCAUUAAAAUGAAUCACCUCGUCCAUUCGAGGUAAAUGAACCAUGUGAUCUUAUGUACUACCAGCCACAUUUUAAUUUGCUCGUUGGAAUAUUAUCUAUAGUUGUAUCUAUUGUAUUUGUAUAAAUGAUUUUUGGAAGGGAACUUAGAAAAAGUUCUUGAUAGGGGCUGUAUUUUUUAAUUUCAAGUGCAAAAUUAAGUUUUGAUAGACAAUUUACUUAUGAUUCAAUUUAACGAUCGGGUUUUCUGAAAAAAAAAAAUUCACACAAAAAAUCGAUUAUUUAAUAAUUUUAUAAGAAAAAAGAAGAAGAAGAAAUUUUCUAUUUAGGAUAUACACGAGCAGAUGAGAUCCUCUGUCCCACUAUUUUGUGUGUACCACCAUGUACCAUUCUUAAUUUAUUUAUUUUAGUAAUUAUUUUUUAUAAAAAUAAAAAUUAUUAUUAUAUUUUUUAUUUUCAUUUAAGUGAGUUACUAGAUUUAUUUGGGGUGAGCACAGGUUAUUUUGGAAAAGGAGAAUAUCUGUAAGAUGAUGUGAAAAUUAUUCAAUAUAAGCACAUAUAGGGGUUGAGUUCUCAAAGGAACUUAAUUAAUAUCCAAUGUGAUUGAUACAUUUCGACUAAAUGGAUGGACUGUGACGCCCCGACCAAAAGUAAAGAGUGAUUGUGAUCGGUGCACAAGGCAUGGAUGAAAAGCGGUUCCUAGUAAUGCUUCGAUACGGAGGAUACAUGAAUGAAUCGAAACACACCAGAAAGAGAGGGAUUCCAUGAGUACGUACGCAGGUAUAUGACUGCAUAUUCGAGGAGCUUAAAUAAUUUUAUUGGUGUUACUCAUAUCAACAAGAUGCAUCUUCUUUUUUGGUGACCAUAUGAAAUAAACUCCAAGGUUAAGCGUGCUUGGCGUAGAGCAACUUGAUGAUUGGUGACCUCCCUAAGAAGUUUAUCAGAAAGCGUGCUAGUAAGAACAAAACAUGCUAGAAAAGACUCAUAUUAGUCUGUGGGGACAGCCGUUAAAUUUGGAUUCGGGUCUUUACAAGUGGCAUUAGAGAUUAACCUCUCACAGUAUGGUGCGGUUCGGGAACGAACCAAGCGGAAGUUGGUACUCAAUAUUCCAUCUAUUGUGAGUUUCUUUGUCUUCUUCAUCUUUCUUUUACUCUGCUGUCGAGUUUCAGAGAGUAAUCAGAUAGGUUUUCAUUCGAGUUGAGUUUCUUGAGUGAUAAACUGUUAAUUGUGAGUUUCAUUCGAUCAUUUGUUGAUUAUAAAUAUCUGCACAUGGAUAUUGGUCAAUUUAGAUACACUGAUCUUCAAAUUGAUUGACGAAUCUUUAGAAUUCAAAAUUUAAAUCAAAUACGCGUGUUCAUAGUUAAUUGGUAAGUACACUUUUUUUUNAUAUAAAUAUAAUUGACUCGAGAUCUCUGCUACUUACGCAUACUUCGCUCGAGACAAAAAUAAAUAAUUGAUCAUUGAGAACUCCGCUACCACACCAUACUCGUGUACUAUUUAUCAUUGUUUAUGAUUAUUAAUAAAGACGUGUCUUUGCCUGAUAAAUUUAAUUUUCAUACUCUUGAUUCUUUUUUGGCCAUAUCAUUUUUUAAAAAAUUGGGAGGGGAAUGGUGGAAAUUGAAUAUGAAAAAUACCAGUCAAAUGAUACAUGUGCACUUUCAAAGACAAAACAUAAAUGUAACCUUCGUUUGUAAAACAUAGAAAUUCUACCAUAUAUUUGUGAUUAUUUUACCUUUAUACGAUCUAUUUAUAUAUAUUUAUUAGAAUUAAUAAAAAUAUACUACAUUCGUCCACGAAAAAGAAUCUCAUUGUGUGCUGGAUGUGAGUCGUAUCGAGAGUGAGAGGGAACACAUUGUCUCCGGUCUCUGCCGUCUUGGCGAGAUCUUCGGCAUUGGCCUGAUCCGGCCGCUGAGGUGGCCGGUAGGUCAUCCAUGGAGUAUGGCUAUAUUCAUACUCGUAUCCCAUUUUGGUUGUAGAACAAGAAGGCGGUGUUGUUGAAAUCGUCGUCGUUGAUAUCCUUUGGAAAACCGGCUGGGAUAGUUUUCGCCAUUAGAGUGAUGUGCGUAGAAGAGAGGAUCUUCCGGCGGUCUUCGCGGAAACCGUUGUCGCGUGUCCAUAGUUCAUGGAUUGAAAAUAUGCAGGUAAAGCACCCGGCGUACUCGGCCAUACAAUUAACUCGCCAUCAUGAGCUAUAAUUCUAUUCGAGUAAGUUCAAUCUCUAAUGAAUUAAUAUAUUUUUAUAAAUAUAUAAUUUGCAAAAUAACCUUAAAAUAAAAUAUGUAAUAAGGGUAAAAUAGGCAAUCCACAUGUUGUGCUCAAUGCUCUUUUUAUAUUACUAGGAGAAAGAUAAUUAAUGUUAUUUUAUCUAAUAAAAUAAAAAAUAUAAAUAUAAUAUUUAUUAUAUUUAAAUUUUUAAUUAACAAUUUUGUUUAUUUAAUUCUCUUAUCUCUUACAAUAUUUUUUUUUAGAAAAUCUAUUAGUUCAUUACUUCGACUAAAUAUAAUUUAUUGGAUAGAUAUAUUUAUUUAUAAGCCUUAUCAAUAGCUAUAGAUAUAUAUUACAUAGAUUUAAUGUAAUAUUUAAUGAAUCAAUAGCUCUUUUCUUUUAUAUUAGUAUAGAUUAUAUAGAUAGAUAUAUAUAGUGCAUGCAUGAUAAUGUUGAUUGAUCAUCGUAACUAUAUAAUUUAUUGCACUAAUAAUGAAUCACGUUCCCACUCGAGGUAUAUAAAAUGAAUCAUGUGACCUUUUCUACUACCCGACACAUUUUGCUCCUUGGAAUAUUAUUUAUAAUUGUGUCUAUUGUAUAGUGCAUGCAUGAUAAUGUUGUUUAAUCAUCAUAAAUCUUCAUGGCUCAUCCACCUCAUCCAAUCGAAGCAUAUAAUGAACCAUGUGAUCAUAUCUACUACCUGACACAUUUUGCUUCUUGGAAUGCUAGCUAUAAUUGUAUCUAUUGUGUGAAUGUAAGCAAAAGGGCGCGCACAAUUUUUUAUUUUUUUUUGGAUAGGUGACUCGCUCAAAAUACCUAUUGAAUUGACUCGUAAUCGCACGAGGUCAUUCUAGCGUAGUAAGCUAACCCAUGUCGUAUCUCACAAGGAAGAUUAAGCAGGACGACUAAUUUUGGAUUAUUUUUAAUCAAAUGUUGGAUAUUUUUUAAUUAGAGUAAAAUUAAAAUAAGUAAAUUAUUGUAUAUUUUCAGAUUCGGAAACUAAUGGCUUUAUUUUAAUUUAAUCAUUUUCAUAUGUCAGUUAUAUUAUGUAAAUGACGUUUUUAGUAACAAACAAAUGACAUUUUAAUCAAUAAAUGAUACUUUUAUCAAUAAUAAAUGAAACCAUAUUAAGGUAAAUAGGGUAAAGGUUAGACUUAACUGUGAAAGCAUCAUGAGUUUUAUGUGUAACAUUUUCGGUGUGAAAAUUGAUGAGUUAAAAAAAAUGCUCCAUAUUGAAUUCGACAUUAGAUGAAUCUACAGUAGAUUUUCAUGCAUGAUCUAAGAGCUGAAAAUGAUUCACGGUCUAUAUUUAUUCUAUCAAAUUCCAUAUCACUUUAAAUCUCAAAUUACAUUUGCACUAUAUAUGAUUAUAUCCUAAAUUAUCAUAAAUAUGAACCGCUUAAAUCUGGCGUCGUUGCACCGCGGACAUCUUGCCGCUGCUUUCUCCCACCAUUGCCCUUGCUGCCCUCAUCUUAGGUGCCAAUUUUUUGCUCGUCGUGCAGAAUUUGAAAGGGGUAAAUUAUUUUUUCAAUUUUUUAUUGCAUUUUGCUGUCUAAGUUGAUUUCUCAAGUAAAGUGGACUUGGGUUUUGUUUCGAUUAUAGCUGAAUUCGAUGGCGCUGUGUGGUUAGAUCUGUAAUUUUGACGUGUUGUUGAAGUGUGCGGGAUUGAAUGUGAUCUGGGAGAAUUUAAGGGUUUUGGGACGUUAGUAUGAUGAUGGUGGGAUUUGAAUGAAUUUGAAUACCAGAUUAUGGUUGAUGUUUAAUUAUGUGAAUCUUGCGAUCUGUGUUGAAAUUAAUGUACAGUAUCUUCGCCUAGCCGGGGGUUCACCAUUUGGUUCCCGACCGUCCUGCUGCCUUCACUCCACACUCAAGUGCCAAUAUCUUCUUCUCGUUUCUCUUCCUUCUUCUUCUCCUCUUAGUACCUGCAAGACAGAAGGAAAAACCAGCAAGUAUAAAGAAAAAUCAGAAAACUUAAAGAAGUAAAGAAAGAAAGAAAACAAAGGAAACUCGAGGUGGGAAAAAGGUGUCCUCGGGACACAGGUGGCUCAGAUUUUUCCCACAGUGGCAACACACUCCGGCAGCUCAAAGACCACGGCACAAAGGGGAAGGGAAGUCAGAUCGGAGCUCAAAUCUGACGAGCACAGCCACCAAUAAUCAGGAAUCCGGUGGACAGGAUUCCGGCGGCUCAGAAAUCCUUCGCUUUAUCACCAAACAGGAAAUCUAAGGUCAGCAAUCCGACAAUAAUGCUAUCAACAGGAGGAAGCUCUCACUUUACGGCCACAACACCGGAAACCAGAACGGAAACCAGAGAACAGAAGGAAUAGCAGAGCCUUCAAGGUUGUGAACAUACUACAGAACUUCCCCCAAUCGAUUGCUUUAUAACCGAGACAGAGAAGGGUCGGGAAGAUGUAGUGGGCUUUGGGAAGGAGGAGGAAGCCAUUAAUGGUGGUGGAGCUCGAGGGAAAGCGAGAUCAGCAGUCGUGAAGACUUAGGGUUUGGGAGGGGAUUUGAGGUGGAGCGGCGGAGGUUGAAAUGAGGGAAAGGCCGAGUGAGAGAGGGAGUAUUUCAGUGGAUAAUGGGCUAGGGUAUUUUUGAGUUAACGGGCUAUAGGUGUCUGGGCCCAAAAGUUGGGCCAGAGAAGGGAUAAAGAGCAUUGGGCCAACAUUCCACAAUUAAGACAAUUAAGAGUAGAAAUUCUUCUUGAUUUGCUAAUUUAUUUAGGAUUAGCGAUAUUAGUUUGGAGUUUUAGAUGUCGAUUGAUUUCGUGAUCUUGAUUUAUGUGAUAAAUGCCUCUCAUCACUAAGAUUUGGAAUAUAUUGGAUAUCUAGGAUAGUGAUAUUAGUUUGGAGUUUUAGAUGUUGAUGUGUCUUUUUAGGCUGCGUUUACUUUGAUGGAUAAAUUUAUAUAUGGAAAAGGAUGGAUAACACAAAUUUAUGCUUUUAAAUGUCUCCUUCCUCUUCCAACAUUUGACACAAAAAGAGAUGCUCGCUAUUUUUUCUUCCUUAUCUUCACUUCAAGGAUGGAUAAUAUUAUCCCUCCAUUUUGGUGUGAUAAUAUUAUCCAUCAUUGAAGUGAAGAUAAGGAAGGAAAAAUAGUAGAGCAUCUCUUUUUGUGUCAAAUGUUGGAAAAGGAAAGAGACAUUUAAAGGCAUGAAUUUGUGUUAUUCAUCAUUUUCCAUAGAUAAAUUUAUCCAUCAAAGUAUACGAAGCCUUAUGUGAUAAAUGCUUUUUUAGGGGGGCCCACGGGCAUGCUGCCCCAUAUGCUAUGGAGUAUGGACCAUGGUGGCUCGGUCACUGCGCUCUCGAUUGCGAAUUAUUUUGCAUUAUCUUUGUUUGUUUUUCUUAUAUUGGGAAAGAAAACAUAGAGUAAUAUAUAUUUUAGAAGUCCAGUUACCAAUGUCGUCAAUCUCGAGUGAAAAUAAAUAUUACCAUAACACAAAAAUGACAAAGCUAUUGAUUAGUGACGAUAUGUUAGAAGUUCAGAUAAACAACACAUUUAUUCUUGUGUAUAUUAUAUUAACGUUUAUUAUAUAUUAUAAAAAGAACAUAUUCUUUCAAAAUUAUCUUGUCUAUUUUUAGAAGUUCAGAUAAACAACACAUUUUCAGAAGAAAUUUAAUAAUCUCUUACGAUUUACAUAUAAUUUUUAAAUAAUUAAUUAUCUCAGUGGUGAUAAAAUAAAAAAACGAAGUAAUUUAUUAUAUACAAAAUAUUAUGAUUUAUGUUUGUAUAUUAUUUGUUUCCAUUAGUGCAUUAUCAUUUCUAAGUAUCUUCUCACUUGUUCACUGAUUCACUAUUGGAUUAACAUGAAUAUACGAAUUUCAUAGUAUACCAACCGUUCGAUAAAAGUCCUCAAAGAAAUCUUCCAUAGAUAACCUUGCAAAAGUACGUGUAUCUAUAUUAAUAGAAUAAGAGCCUAAGGAAUCUUAAAACACAAUUUUUGGAUUGCCUAUUUUACCACUAUUAUAUAUUAUUUUAAAAUUAUUUUACAUAUUAUAUAUUAAUAGGAAUAUAUUAAUUCAUUAGAUAUUACACUAAAUCUAUGUGAUAUAUUUCUAUAGCUAUUGAUAAGGCUUAUAAAUAAAUAUAUAUCCAUCUAAUAAAUUAUCUAAUAAAAGUAAUGAAUUAAUAGAUUUUUUAAAAUAAUAAAUUAUCAAAUAAAAUAACAUUAAUUACACACGUACGUUCUUUCUGCUAGCUAGUUAAAUAAAAAGAAGAAGAAACUGAGACUGAAAAAGGGAGAAUUAAGAUAGUCCAUUAUUAUCGUCUUAUUUUUAGAACUUAAACGAGAGAAAAGUCCAUCGCUAGUCCUAAUUUACAACACAACACAACACAUGAUAAUAAAUUUAAAUCACACAUAUUGCCGGAUGUACCCUUCCUCCUCUUUGCCGGCGGCGGCAUGCACGAGGGUGGACGUGAAAUACCACGAGACGAUGUCGUGCACGGCGUCUUGGCCUCCGGUGGCCGCGGAGAUCCCGACCUGAACCUGCUGAGGAAGAAUGGCGCUCAGGUCGUACACAUAGCUCACCUCGUAUGUUUGCGAGCCGGCGGCGAGGCUCACGCUGAUCAGCUUAGUGGCUUCCAGGUAGUUGAUGCGCGCAGUCACCUGCUGCCCGAGCAACGCGUUGCCGACGUUGGUCACGUUUUUGGAAACAUUAGAUUCGAUGUCGAUCCCGAUAUGGCGAUAGCUAGGAUCCACUCCGGGGUUGGAGAAGACGUCGAAUUCCACGGCGAAGACGGCGGGGCCGACGCCGGAGGAGUUGAAGAUUCCGAAGCAGCCGCCGGUGAAGCCGAGGGGUAAGCCGACGGGGGCGAUGAAGAAGGUCACGCCGUCGGCGGGGUUCGUGUCGCCUGCGUUGGGGGUUACGGCGAACGUCAGGGUGGUCUCGAAGUCGACCUGCGCGCCGGCCUCCCAGAACGUGAUCGGGGCUGAGUACACGGCCCGGCCGACGCUGUACUGGACCGCGCUGCCGGAGCUGGUGGUGUUGGUCAUGCGGAGGAAGGUGGAGUCCGACGGGAAGUGGGCGUCGCCUUGGUAGAGGAGAUCGGUCGGCUGGUCGCCCCAGAAGUCGUACGUGAAGGCUGUCGAUUGGGACUGCAUGCGCCGUGUUGGCGGCGGUGGCGAGGAGGAGGGCGAUGGAGAUUAGGGUUUGGAGAAGCUUGGCCAUGGCUUAAUUGAGUUAGUAGUAUUUGCUUUGGAUGUGGUGUGAUGAUGGUGUAUUGGUGUUAACUCUUGCUCCUAUUUAUGCUAGUAUAGUGCUUGAAUGAAAAUGUUAUUUAAAUUAACAUCAUAUUUUUUAUUACACAAAAAUGACUCACCCCAUCUUCUCGAGAUUAACUGAACUUGUGAUCUCUAAUAAUUUAUAACCUACCACAUUGUAGUUGUUGGAGUAUACUCCCUCUGUCCCGGUUUUAGCACGAGUUUUAAUAAAUUGGUUGAUUGUAUUAUGAGUAGAAUAAGGAUAAUAUUUUUUAUGGAAGUGUUAAAAUAAUUAAAAUUGAGAAAAUGUUUCACCUAUUUUUAUUAAAAAUAGAAAUGAAUUUUAAAAUAUGGGACGACGGCCAGAAAAAGAAAAUAUAUAUGGAUACUAAAAGUUGGGACGGAGUGAGUAUUAUCUAUAGUGGUAUCUAUUGUAUGAGUACAAGAGAUUUACUUGACUUGUUGAGGUAUGGAGAGAUUAUUACAAACCACGUGAAAUUGAGUUCUUGCUCCCACUGUAAAAGCAAUAAAUAUAGGGAAAAGAAAAUUAAUACUUCCUUCGUCCAAGAAAUGAGUACACAUAUUUCUUUUUUAGUCCGUUCAUGAAAUGAGUACUCAUUAAUUUUUCUUUUUAUCAAGUGUACCUCACACAACCCUUUAAUUAAUUAAUACCUUUAAAAAGUGGGUCCCUUAUUCCACUAACACCACACUCAAUCAUUUCUUAAAACCUGUAACGUCCCCAAAUGAGAUUCAUUUCGUGGAUUGAGUAAAUUCUAUACUACAAAUUAAUGGUUCGAAUUCACUUUAAAAAAUAAACUACAAUUAAGAGUCCCUCUCUUAAUUGGAAUUCAUAGACCAUCUGCUUCAGUCGUGCCCGAAGACAGAAAAGGUUUGGAUUGGAAUUCAUAGGUGGCUAGGGAAUAAAAGCAGUGUGGCCUCAAUCAUUGAAGCACACUUCGAUUUGUUCACAAAUCUUGACAAAGGAAAGGAAGGUCGAUUUUUCUAGCGACAGUAUGGGUCUAUACCAUUUGGUUGCUGUGGAAAUGACGUAACGAGAGCAGAUUUGAGGGCAAGACUUGGGAGAUCAAUGACGUGAUCGAAGAAGUGAAAGUGAGGAUGUGGAGUUGGAACAAGAUUUUUGGACUACAUGUUAAAGAGAUUAGCUCUCAAUCUUGGUUUUCUUGUGAAACUCCUCUUGUUUUGUGUAAUUUGGUCGUAUCUCUGGUACCAAACUCUCUCCUAAUAAAAUUUCUUUUCUGAUUAAAAAAAAAAAAAAGAGUCCCUCUCUUAAUCAAGUAGACUGGAUGCGGUAAGAGAGAAAUCACUUCCAACUUAUCGAUUUUACUAGCAACAACUAGAUUUAUACUGAAGCUAAAUUGGAUCAGACUCUAGGAUUCACUAGUCUUUUACUCAAGGUGAGUCGGUUUACGAGUCUCAAACUCAAGGUGAACUAGAAUGUCUGUCAAUACGAACGUUGGGAGUUCGAGGGUUUUUUAGGACAGUAACUUAGAUUGAUUUGGAAAUUAGGACAAUAACUUUCGGACUUGUAAAAAUAGGACUCUAAUUCUUUUUAAGAGUAAAAUAGGACACUAAUUAAUAAGUGUUACAUCCGCAGGACAUUUUUCGGCCAAUUAUCGGCCGAGAAAUGUCCUACUUUUACGACGCUUAUUAAUUAGUGUCCUAUUUUUACAAAUUCGAAAGUUUUGUCUUAAUUUUCAAAUCAACAUAAGUUAUUGUCCUAAAAAAUCCCCUGACUCCGAACGUUGGAACAAGCUCGGCAAUAUACUGCUAUUCAACAUUAAUGGCACUUUGCACUAAAUGAAUUGGUGUCGAAUUAAUACAUCGUCUUGCUGCUCAUAUCUAUAUAAUAAAUGCAUACCUGCACCUCGAUAUUAAUCAAUUUAGAUACACUAAAUCUCGGAUAUACUUAACAAAUGGAUUAAUAAAUGUAUAAAUUUUAGAUUUCAGAAAAUCAAAUACAGGUGUUCAUAAGGAAAUGAUUAAAAACCCGUGUGUCAUUUAGAUAAGAUUAUUAUAGUACAGUUAACGAUGGUGAAAUAUUCUUUUACAUUAGAUAUAAUAGCAUUCCAGAUCUCAAUGGCAUUUUUUGUUAUAACAAAAAAAAAUUGUAUAUGUUCCAUACUAUCCUCAAACUUCAAAUUAUUAUUUUUCUUUAUUUUAAAAUUUGUAUUGGCACAUAUCUGUCAAUUAAUCAAAUUCAUAUCAAAACAAUAAUUCGAAUGAUAUAUUAGUUGGCUAGCUAUAAAUUACAAAUUAUUAGUGAUUAGGCAUGUUUUACACAAAUUAUUAGCCCAAACAACAUUUGAUUGUGUGCAAUGCACACACUUACUAAAAGCAGAUGUGAUCAUCUGUCCCACAAUUUAGUGUGUAUCACCGUGUACCAUUCUUAAUUUGUCUAUUUUAUAAUUAUUUGUUGUAAAAAUAAAAAAAAUAUUGUUAUAUUAUGAACUCUAAUUAAAAUUUAUAACUAAAAAUAAAAAUUAAAAAAAAUUAUAUACCCUAACUUUGAAUUAAUUAACCCAAAUAAUCAAUUAUUAAUUCAAAUAAAUAUAAAAAAUAAUUAUAAACUCUAAUUGAAUGAGUGAACCCUUAUUAAUUAGUUUCUUAUUAUAUUAUAAUAAAUUAAAAUUGAAGAAAAUAUAAUUAUAUAUUAUAAUAAAUUAAGAGUGGUACACGGUGGUACACACUAAAUUGUGGGACAGAUCCAUGUGCACUAAAUUAUAGGUACGGAGGUGCGGAUGCGGGGGCGAUACGAUACGAGUACGGGGAUACGGGUUCUAAAAAAUUAUAGGGUGCGAUUCGGCAAGGAUACAUCUAAUUAUUAAAAUUUUAUGAUAUACUAAUUGUUAGAAAUGGAUAUUGGGCCAAUUCCUCCCUUAAAAGGCCUUAUAAGGGAGAGGGUUACCUCACCAUAUAAAGUGGCUCAUGCCACUAUCUCCAAUCCAAUGUGGGACACUUCAAUACUAAUGCUUAUAAAAUAUAUACAAUUUAAAUUUUCUUAAAUUAAUUAUAUGUAAUUUACAUUUUAUUUUACCCAAAAGUUAAGCAUUUUCAAUUAUAUAAGUUAAUUGAGCAACAAUAUAACGAUUCAAAUAUUAUUAGUCCAAUAUAUAAGUCAUAACUGAAAAUAAAAUUAUCAAAAUAACCUUGUGUAGGCCUUUCGUGCACGAGAUACGUGAAUUUCGCCUAUGGAAUUUGCAAAUCCGGUUUAUUUUUAUAAAUUGUUUUAAAAGAUACGCACUGGUGAAUCGGUGCGAAUCCGACAAGAAUUCGAGAAAUCACACCCUAAAAGAAUCCGAUUCGCCGUACAUCUAAUUUUUGAAGAAUCCGUGCAUCAUAGGUGAGAAGAAACACAAGAGAGUAAAAUGGUACAUAAUGUAGAAAGACUUUUCUCCAAAAUAAAUGUUACAGUCUUCUAAUAGUCGAAAGGCGCAUGAAAAUGCGCAGUUAUUCGAAAGAAAGGAAAGGCUUAUUCAGCCACACAAUGACAUGGAAUUCGAAUUGAAAUUGAAAUUCAGACAAAUCCCAAACACGGUGAUGCAGAGAUCAAGCGGUAACACGAGGAAUGAUCUUAAUACCACCGAUGGUAACUUCGUCGCCGUUAAUGUGGGGAACGAUGGUGACGACAAUGAAAUCAUCAUCAGCAAUAUUGAUGUUCUCAUAGAGCUCCCUCAAGUUCAAGCGAAGGUCGUUGGCGCUUUCCGCAGCCCUAACCCUAUGCGGAAUCUGCGUGAAACUGCCGGCGAACUCGGCCCUGGCGAGGUCCUCUGGCUUGUCGUCUUCGUCAUUCACGAACACAUCGAACCUCACGAGCUUCGAACUAUCGGUGAUUAUGUUCUCCAGCACGAGCACUUCGUCGGCUUUGCCUUUGGUUGGUUUGGGCACCAAAACCCUGUGAGUCUUGUUGAGAGUGAGAGGGAACAGAUUGUCUCCACUCUCUGCCCUCUUGGAGAGAUCUUCGAUAUUCACCGGCACCUCCCUCCGCGGUGGCCGGUAGGCUGUCCACGGAGUUUCGCUGUGUUCAUACACGUAUCCCAUUUUGGUGUGGUCCAAGCAGUCGGCCACCUUGACGCGCACGAGGUUCUUCUUCUCGUCGUAGAACAUGAACGCCGCGUUGUUGAAAUCGUCGGGGUUGGGGACGACGAGGUCGUUGAUAUCCUUGGGGAAAACGGAUGGGAUAGUUUUCCAUAUGGUCCACAUUCUGUCGACGUUAGCGUGAUGUGCGUAGAAGAGAGGGUCUCUUCCGGCGGAGUAGAAGUUCCCCAUGUCUUCGCGGAAAUCGUUGGCGGGGUUUCCGGUCCAGACGUGGACGCCGCCGUGUGAGCCGCCCUCCGACAAUCCUCCCUUGGCGCGUGGCGGGGGCAAGUCCCCGGAAACGUAAGGAUCGCCCAUGAAGUCGAUGGCGGAUUCGACAUCACCAAUCAUUUCCUUGUACAUCUGAGUGAGAUUGUUUUCGAUGAUCGUUACAGGAUCGGUGAUCGGGGGGGUGGUUAUGGCAAGAGCAACGAGGGCCGGGGGGCGAUGCGUUGGGUCGCGGUUGACGUCGUAGAGCGGGGAUUCUUCCCUGUCGAACGGCCUGGGCAUCUGCAUACCCCUAGGGUUGUCCCAGUUCCAGUAGGGCAGGGCGAAAUCGGGAUCUCCGAUGAGUUCGCCCAUGAUCCUCUCGAAGAAAUAGAGGUACCACCUGUGGAAGGGGUGGAUCCAGAAUUUGUCAUUAGGAGGGACUAAAUUUGUUGAAGCAUGACGUCUCAAAUUAUUAGCCAAUUUUUUUUAGCAUUCCAUACAGUUCAUUUUUUUGUCGAACUACAUUCGAUUAAUUCAACAACAAGAACAUUGAAAGCAUAUAAAUACUUACCUCUCAAAAAUUGUUUCAUCUUCUAAGAAGAUAAGCUAAUUUUCAUCAUGGCAGUUCAUAAUUUUAAUUUAACUUGAGGAUUGACUCAAAUUCAACACUGAGAAUCAACUAAGAAAGGAAAGUAGACAAAAAUAACAUAAAUUUAACAAACUAACAUAUCAAAUUUAAAUCACUAUAAAAUAUUAAACAGUUAAAACGUGGAUACUAUAAUUAAUAAAACAAUGUAUUUUAUUAUCUCUUGUAUUUCUUAUCUAUACUAAUAGAAAAAGAGUCUAAGACAGUCUAAGGCACAACUUGUGGAUUGCCUAUUUUACCCUUAUUAUAUAUUUAUUAUUAUAUUUACAAAAUAUAAAUCUAUUUUGAUAAAUAUUUAUUUGUCACUCAAAUCUAUAAAGAAUACUUUAUAUCUAUAGCUAUUGAUAAGGCUUAUAAAUAAAUAUAUUCAUCCACAACGUACGUUCUUUCUGCUAGUAUAUAAUAAAAACAAAAACAAAAAACUCAAAAUUUGGGAGGCGGUCGAUCCGCUGCUAACCUGUGGAAAGGGAAGAAGAUCCAUGAGUUGUGAACCUGGAUAUCGAUGCCGGGGUGGUCCACCUGGUCGUAGGGGCCGUUGCAGUAAGCGCAGUGGAUGUUGGCCUGCUGAGUGAAGCCACGGGGAUCGUCGGGGUCCGUCACGUCCAGUUCCUUCAUCUUCUGGAUGGCCAACUCAUACUUGCGUACGUAUUCCGGUGUCAGCCUGUGCGCCGCCGGCCUAACGCGAGGUUUAGUGAACCUCGGAAGCUUGUAGUCGCUCUGAACGUCGGUGUAGGGCGGGCAGCAGUUGACGUCUAGAGAUAUUACCUCUUGGUUUCGAGUGGUGUAGGCACCUUCGGGGUCGCAGGUGCUCAGGUCAGGAGGCAAAAUCGGAAGCGCCUCAGCUUUGCGGAUGGCGCUGCCUGCGCCGUAUAGACCGCCCAGCCCAAGCAGCAUGUUUCUGCGGUCUAUACGGCCGCUGCCACCGCCACCGCUGCUGCAUGACACCUGAAAGCGGCCGUGGCUCCGCCGGCUGCUGAGCUGGGAGGGCUUGCGAAAUGGGGAGUUGGUGGCGGCGGCGAUCGCCGUGAAUGAAGAUUGAAGGGAAGCCAUGUUUGAGUGAUUGAUUGAUGGUCGUUGUGAUUACCUGGGGAGGCAUGUCUUUAUAUAGCAGAUGUGACACGAGUUUUAAGAAAAAUAAAUUAUCCGUUGAAUAAUUAAAUCGCCAUGUUUCUAUAAUUUAUUCCUAAUGGAUCUAGUCAAACUAAUCGUGCAAUAUUUAAUAAACCACGCAGCAUCAUUUCCGAGACUAAUAAAUGACAUUUUGAACCAGCUAAUCAAUUCCAUAUAAUUAACCAUUUGCGAGGCUGGCUGCCCUUCACUAAAUGGUUGUAUGCACUUGUCUUUGGAAAAGCUGUUUGGCCAUAUUAUGGCCAGUCAUAAUAUGGGAAAAUAUUAUAAAAGUCAUGUAUUUAAUUUUUUAUAUUUAAAAUAAAAAUAGGAUUUUAUUAGUUUUAUUUUUUAUUACAUAUUUUAGCUAUUUUUUUUUAUAAUUUUUCUGAAUUUUUUAGAAAAAUAAAAAAUAAAAUUACAAUGUGAACAAAAUUAUAAAACUAAUAAUGGUAGAGCAGCGGAGGGCACAGGUGAAGGGCAUGGCGGCGGUGUACUUAUUUUAGUCAAGUAAUUAUUAUUGCACGAAAAAAUAAUUAUUAAUAUAAAGAAAGAUAAUGUUUCAAAGACAUUAUCUUUCUUCAUGUCUAUUAAUUUUUCAUCACAAUAAUAAUUACUUCGAAUUAUCCGUGUUUUCAAUCGUGCGACCUGCACCCAGCCCGACCCGACCCGUUUCACCCAUAUAGUCAGUCUCACCCAAGUUUUUGCCUAAAGAUAAGUAUUAAUUAGUUGUGUAUGGUGAUAUGAGUCUUGUUUGUAUAAAUUAGUAGGCCUUUAAUAAUGAAUUGGCCCAUCUCAGGUGGUUUAUAUAAUUUACUCGUAUGGAUCUAAAUACAACUAAUCAUGAAAUAUUUAAUAUACCACGGAGCAUCUUUCUGAUAUACUAUUUAUAUAGUAAUUUAUUCCUAAUGGAUCUAAUCUCUGACUAUUUAAUAAUUAACUCGCCAUCGUUUAAAUAAUUUACUCCUUAUGGAUACACUCAAAGUAAUCGUGCAAUAUUUAAUAUACCACGCAGCAUCAUUUCUCAUACAAUAUUUUGGACCAUCUAACCAAUUACAUAUAAUUAAACCUUUUGCCAGGGUGGCUGUCCCUUCCACUAUAUGGUUGCAUGUAUUGAAUUGAAAUUUUAUUGAGGAAAAAAUGAAAAGAAAAACUAGGAAUUCAUUGAUAGCACGAAGACGCUAAUUAAGGGCUGAGCCUCAUCAAAACCUUUCCGAUAAAAAUCCAGUGAAAAAAACCACCAGCAAAGGAAAAAGAGUACCAGUCUAUUACAAUAAAAAAAUGAAGAACAAACUCAAGACAGGAACAACGAGAAGCACGAGAGGAUGAUAAAACAUCUAACCCGAAAAAAAAGACCCAAACCAAAGGAGCCUGACAAAUCCGGAGCCAGUACCAGCGCACCAGGAAACUGAAAAAGUUCUGGAGAAGCCACUUCGACCCAAGCACGCCAACCAUCCAAAAGAAACGACUACCACACCCACACCUAGGCCAAGAAAUAUAUAAUAUUGUGAAUAGUUCCCAUGGGAUCGAAACAGACCACCAAAACAAGAAAAAACCUCUAAGAGCAGACUACUCAUUGCCUGCCUGCCUAGUAUUCGAUGAAAUACCCAAACCAGAAAUCAUAGCAUAAAGCAAAAACCGCCACAGCUGGGGAGCGAAGAGCAGAAGGCCACCAAUAAGAUACAUUAGGAUUGCGCAAAGUCUGACAAAGAAAUCAGAAAACUUACCAGACCACUCUAGUUAAUGUAAUCUAUACAUGUCCGCACAUGAAAUUUGGUCAAGUUAGAUACACUAAUCUCAAAUCUAUUUAAUUAACAAAUUGAUUGAUUGAUAUUUUUUUCUGAGAGAAAUUGAUUGAAUAAUUUUUAGACUUCAAAAACUAAUAGUUAAUUGAUUGUUUAGAUAAGAUUAUUAUUACACUUUUAUAUAGAGAUAAUUAGUACUUGAGAUAUGUGCAAUUUACGCAUUCUUCUCUCGAGACAAAAUAAAUAUUAUUGACCAUUGAGAACUCUGCUACCACUACUCCAGUUCUAUUUAUUAUCAGUGUGCCCUCUCGCGCGCUGCACGGGUCACAACAUAUUUGAUUAUUUAAUUUUAGCUGUUUACGCAUACUUCGCUCGAGACAAAAAUAAAAUAAGAUUUAUUGAUCAUUGAGAACUCAGUACCACACCAUACUCGUGUAUACUAUAAUAUUUAUCAUUGUUUAUGAUUAUUACGUGUCUUCGCCGAUAAAUUUAAUAUUCAUUCCUUUAAUUUUUUUCUAUUGACAUUGGAAACUGUCUUGAUUCUUUUUUGGCCAUAUCAUAUAUUUAAAAAAUUGGGAGGGGAACGUGGAAGUUGAAUCUGAAAUAAGAAUCAAAUGAUACAUGUGUACUUUCAAAGAUAAAACGCAAAAUAUAUCAUUUUUUUGUAAAACAUAUAAAUUCUACUAUUUAUGAUUAUUUUAAAUUUAUAUAAUCUAUAUUUGUAUGUAUAUAUAUUCUCCAUUUGUUCAUGAAAAAGAGUCUCAUUGUAUGCUGAAUACGAGUUUUAAUAAAAUGGUUGUAAGUGUGAAAUAAAUGUAUAAUUUGUAAGAGUCUUUACAUUAGAUUAUAUUUUACUCUCUUCGUCCUAUUGAUAAUGACUCACUUUUCUUUUUCGUCUGUCUCAUUGAUAAUUGCAUGUUCCAAAAAAACUGAAACCAUUUGACCUCACAAAAUGUUGUGGGCUCCACUACUUUUUAUCACUUUUAUCCUUUAAUUACUAUUCUUAUUAAUAACCGUGUCGAACAGUAAUGAACUAUUAUCAAUGGGAGGGAGGGAGUAAUAUUUUAAUUUUGUUUGCUGCCACCACCACCACCACCACCACAAUUUAAAAAAAAAAAUCUACGUGAAUAUAGUAAUUAUUAGAACAAAAAAAUAACUAUAAUAAUAAUAUAUUAAUCCGUUAAUUAUCUAUACUAAUAUAAAAAGUGCAUUUGGCACAAAAUAUAUAUUGCCUGUUAUAUCCCUAUUAUAGUAUUUUAUUUGAAGGACAACUUUGUAAAUUAUAUAUUAUAUAUUUAUAAGAAUAUAUUAUUUCAUUAGAUAUUACACUAAAUAUAUUUGAUAUAUAUCUAGAUCUUAUGCUAUAAUUUUUUUUAUAUUAAUUAAUUAUUAUAUAUUGUGAUUUAAUAGAAUUAUACAACUCUAAUAAUUUAUAAAUGUAAAGUUCAGGGAUUGCAUGCAAUGCACACAUUCUAUGCUAGAAAAAAAAUAGAAUUCACUAAGCCGAUGAUAAAUAACACAUACAACGUACUAUUUCUGCUAGUAAAUUAAAAAUCUAUAUGAUUUUAUCUUCUAUCACUACAUUAAUUAAAAUCUAUCUUCCGUUUCAUAUUAACGGUGGUUUUUCAAUAUUUUUUAUAUUAAUUACUACAUAUUGUGAAUUUAUUACAAUUGUUAACCUCUAACAAUUCAUUAAUAUAAAGUUGAUGGAUUGUGUGUCAUGCACAAACUCUCCUGUACUCAUCUAAAAGACUCUAUAUGUGAGAAGAAACCGCAGGAGAGUAAAAUGGUACAUAACAUAGAAUAGAAAGACUUUCACAAAAUAAAUGUUACAUUCUUCCCGUAGUCGGAAGGAGCAUGAAAAUGCGCGGUUAUUCGCAAGAAAGAAAGGCUCACUCAGCCACACAAAACAUGGAAAUCCUAAACACGGUGAUGCAGAGAUCAAGCGGUAACACGCGGGAUGAUCUUAAUACCACCGAUGGUAACAUCGUCGCCAUUAAUGUGGGGAACGAUAGUGACGACAAUGAAAUCAUCAUCAGCAAUAUUAAUGUUCUCAUAGAGUUCCUUCAGGUUCAAGUGAAGGUCGUUGGAGCUUUCCGUGGCCCUAACCCUGUGCGGAAUCUGCGUGAAGCACCCGGCGUACUCGGCCCUAUCGAGCUUCUGUGGCGUGUCGUCUGCAUCAUUCACGAACACAUCGAACCUCACGAGCUUCAAGCUAUCGCAGAUUAUGUCCUCCAGCACCAGCACUUCGUCGGCUUUGCCUUUGGUUGGUUUGGGCACCACAACCCUAUGAGGCUUAUUGAGAGUGAGAGGGAACACAUUGUCUCCGGUCUCCGCCGUCUUGGCGAGAUCUUCGGUAUUGACCGGUUCCGGCCGCUGAGGUGGCCGGCAGGUCAUCCAUGGUGUAUGGCUAUAUUCAUACUCGUAUCCCAUUUUUGUGUGGUCCAAGCAGUCGGCGACCUUAACGCGCACCAGCUUCCUCUUCUCGUUGUAGAACAUGAAGGAGGCGUUGUUGAAGUCGUCGGGGUUGGGGACGACGAGCUCGUUGAUAUCCUUCGGGAAAACGGAUGGGAUCGUUUUCCAUAUAGUCCACAUUCUGUCGACGUUAGCGUGAUGUGCGUAGAAGAGAGGGUCUCUUCCGGCGGAGUAGAAGUUCCCCAUGUCUUCGCGGAAAUUGUUGGCGGGGUUUCCGGUCCAGACAGCCGCCCUCCGACAAUCCUCCCUUGGAGCGUGGCGGGGGCAAGUCUCCGUCAACGUAAGGCUCGCCCAUGAAGUUGGUAGCGGAUUCGACAUCACCAACCAUUUCCUUGUACAGCUGAUUGAGGUUGUUGGAGAUGAUCUGUACGGGAUCGGUGAUCGGGGGGUUGGUUAGGGCAAGAGAAACGAUGGCCGGGGGCCGAUGCGUCGGGUCGCGGUUGACGUCGUAGAGUGGCGACGCGUCCCUGUCGAACAUCGAGGGCAUCUGCAUGCCCCUAGGGUUGUCCCAGUUCCAGUAGGGCAGGGCGAAAUCGAGAUCUCCGAUGAAUUCGCCCAUGAUUCUCUCGAAGAAAUAGAGGUACCACCUGUGUAGGGAUGAAUCCAGAAUUUGUCGUUAGGGGGGCUAAAUCUAAAAGUAUUUGCAGUGGGGGCUCCCGUCCGCAAGACAAUUUUUUUUAACCAUUCCGUAUAGAUUUAAUUGGCUUAACAUUAGAAAUCAGUCACUUACUAUAAAAAAUAGUUGUUCGCAUUCCAUUAAUUCAACAACAAGUACAUUUAAAGCAUAUACAAACCUACCUCUGUGCAAUUUUUUAAAAUAUUAUUUCGACUUCUAAAAGAAUAAACUAAUUUUCAUUGUUAAUUAAUAGUUCAAAAUUUUAGUUUAUCUUGAAGAUUAACUCAAAUUAAAUAUUCAAUAUUACCUAAUUAAACAAAAAUGAGACAAAAAUAACACAAAUUUUUAACAAACUAACCUAGCAAAUCACUGUAAAAUGUUAAGCAAUUCUUUCUUGUAUUUCUUCUAUAUAUUAAAAACAAAAAAAUUAGGGAGGGGGCUUCAGCCCCCGUGGAUCCGCCACUAACCUGUGGAAGGGGAAGAAGAUCCAUGAGUUGUGAACCUGGAUAUCGAUGCCGGGGUGGUCCACCUGGUCGUAGGGGCCGUUGCAGUAAGCGCAGUGGACGUUGGCCUGCUGAGUGAAGCCGCGGGGAUCGUUGGGGUCCGUCACGUCCAGAUCCUUCAUCAUCUGGAUGGCUUUCUCGUACUUGGCUAUGUAUUCCGGUGUCAGCCUGUGCGCCGCCGGCCUCCUGCGAAGCUUUGUGAACGUCGGAAGCGUGUACUCUUCCUCGUCGUCCGUGUAGGGCGGGCAGCAGUUGGCGUCUAGAGAUAUUAUCUCCCCGUUUCUAGAAGUAUAGGCACCUUUGGGAUCACACUUGCUCAGGUCAGGAGGUGAAAUCGGAACCGCCUCAGCUUUGCGGAUGAGGCCGCUUGCGCCGUAUAGACCACCCAGACCAAGCAGCAUGUUUCUGCGGUCUACACGGCCGCCGCCGCCUCCAUCACUGCUGCACGACACCUCAAAGCGGCGCCUCCGCCUGCUGGCGAGCUGGGAGGUGGUGCGGAGGUUGGGGUUGGUCGUGGUCGCCAUCACCAUGAAUGAAGAUUGAAGGGAAGCCAUGCUUGAUUGAUUGAUGCUUGCAUUGCGCUCGAGGCAUGCAUGUCUAUAUAUAGUAGGCGUGGACACGAGUUUUAAGAAAAAUAAUGAUACUUAAUGGGAUUAUUUUCGAAAAUGAAUUAGGAAGAUGUUUUGGAGACGAAAAUAGAAAAUUGACCUUUUGCCAGGCUGCCCUUUCACUAAAUGGUUGUAUGCACUUAUCUUUUUUUUAUCUAUAAAGAGGUAUUUUCUCCAUUUAAAAAACUUAUCGAGGUAAUUAUGAAGACUAUUCAUUUUUAUCGUUGUAAAGUUAAUUAAAUUAUAAAAAUUAAAGUUGAUAAAGUUCUUAUUAAACAUCAUCGCUCUUCUGUCUUUGGACGACAAAAUUAAUUAUUUCAAAUAGAUAAAGAACUUGAUUUUCCGAUAUGGCUUCUCAUACUAAUUAAAUAAUCUAAUCCUAUAAUGUAUUUCAUAUAAAGUUAUCAAAUUAACAAUAUUCUGUGUGAAUUUUUUUGCCUUGAGUGUGUGUAUAGAGGUAGUCAGGGCCGGCCCUGAGGGUGGGCGGGCAUGGGCGACGGCCCAGGGCCCCAAAAAUUUGAGGGCCCAAAAUUUUUAAUAUAUCCUAUUAAUUAUAGAUCUUAUGUAUACUAACAACAUAGUUCAUCUAUUGAUUUUGGGCCCAACAUAAUUUAUUCUCAAAUUUAGAUCUAUACUUAAUAUAGAGAGUUUUCAAUUUGAAAUCAAUUUCAAAGUAAUUUCAAAAUUGAGUGACUAUUUUGUAGUUAUAAUAUUAAUAAAAUUGAAGGUUUAUGUUUAAACUAUAUAUUUUUAUUUUUAUUUUUAUUUUCAUUUUCAUUUUCUUUAACUUCUUAUUUGUUGUUACAUUUCUUUCCAAAAUUGUGAAAUUCAAUUAAUUAUAAAAUAUUUAAUAUGCAUAUCAAAUUAAAGAUCACAAUAAGAGUUUUAAUAUGAUAUAUUUUAUGAAAAAUAUUUGAUUUAAAAUGUAAAAUUUAUGCAUGUUCAAAUAUUAAAGUUUUAUAAAUUUCUCUCACCUCUCUCAUCUUUACGAAUAAAUAUAUUUUUAAUUCUUUUAAAUUAGUAUUUUAUUUUUAAUUUUUUUAACUUAUUUUUUUGUUUUUGUAUUUCAUAAUAUCAAAUUUUAUAAUUGUGAAUUCUUUUUUUAUUUUUUUUAAUAUUCAAUUCAAAUAUAUAUAAUUAAAAUUAAUUUUUUAUUAUAUUUAUAAGUAUAAUAAUUAAAUUAGUAUUAAUUUUAUAUAAAUAGUAAAAACAAAAAAUAUUUCCCGUGCAUGAGAUGCAAAUGGUAGUUGCACCUCGCCGCCGGUAAUAUAUUUAAGUAUAUAAAUUAAUUAAUAUUAACAAGGCGCCCGGUGAUCACCGGAGGCAUCCUUGCCGCUGGUAUUUCUGCCGCUACUUUGAAAAAUACGGCCGUCGGUAAAUCUGGCCGCAAAUUGUGUACGUUUUUUGGUAGUGGUAAUAUAUUAGGGCCCAAUUUUUUAAUUUCGCCCAGGGCCUCAGUUUUGUCAGGACCGGCCCUGGAGGUAGUUAUAGAAUUUAUCUUUUGUGUUCUCAAAGGAACUUAAUUAAGAUCCAAUGUGAUUGAUACAUUUCGACUAAAUGGAUGGGCAAGAUUCUUUUAACGCCCAAUAUUAAUUCCAUCUCAAAUCGGAUCUUAUAUAAUACUGUAUUUUAUAUAUUCUAUAAUGCAUUUUAUAUAUUACGUGUCUAUUAAAUUAACAUUGAUCUUAGGAGUGAUACAAGUUUAAAAAAAAGCUAGCUGUAUAUUUGGUGAGUAGAGAAGGGAUUUCAGAAAUUAGAAAAAAUGGUGAUAGGUAGUGGAAUUAUUUUAAAAAAUGGACUAAAAAGAUGUUUCAUGAACGAACGAAAAUGGCAAAAUAGGAAGAUGAGUCGUGGUCGGAGGAAAUAUUAUAAUGCAUCGUAUCCUUUUUUGGUUCGUAUAAAGAUUUUUAUUUGAUCCUCAUCGAGAACAUGCAUAUUGCGAAUACUUAAUUUAUUUCAAUAUAUAUAUAUUAAUUUAUUGGGAGCAUAUGCUAAAUAAAUUAAAUUAAUCCGAAUCAAAAGCGCUUAAUUAUCACUACAUUACAUGCAUUAUGACAAAAAGCCUGCGGCUAAAGAUCUUCAGUUUAAGUCUAUUGUCAUAUUGUUUUUAAAAUAUUAUUUAUCCAUUCCGCAUAUGGAUUGGUCAGAUUUAGAUACACAAAUCUCAAAUGUAUUUAAUUAACAAAUUGAUUGAUAAAUUUUAGAAUUCAAAAAUUAAAUCAAUCAAAUACGCGUGUCCACAGUCAAUGGAUUGAAAAUAUGCAGGUAUCUAGAUAAGAUAUAUUAUUAUUAUUAUUACACUGUUAACUAUACUGCAGUACACUUUUAUAUAUACAGACAUAAUUAAAAUAUGCAGGUAUCUAGAUAAUAAGAUUAUUAUUACACUAUUAACUAUACUGCAGUACACUUUUAUAUAGAGAUAAUUACUAGAGAUAUGUGCUAUUACCCAUACUUCGCUCGAGACAGAAAUAAAUACGAUUGACCAUUCAAUUAAACACUACGACACCAUACUCGUGCAUGUACUAACGAUCUUAUUAUAAGUGCACCUUCCCGUGCGAUGCACAGGUCAGUAGAAUUGUAAUCGAUAUUGAUGUGAAUAUCAUCAUAUUCGAUUCGUAUUUGUGAAAAUACUCUAAUAUUUGAUUCAGCAUUCGAUUCGAUCACGAAUACUAAAUACGAUCCCAUAUUCGAUUCGAUGUUAUUUUUGAAUUAUUUGAUACAUUUUUUAAAAUUAAUUAAAUAAUUUUUUUACGAAUAUUCGAUUCGUUUUCCAUCAUAUUCAAUUCAAAACUAUUCGAUUUGAAAUUCUGAAGGAAAAAAUAUGUUAAAUAAUAUUCUAAAAAAUAUAGGAUUAUAUCCAAUAUAUUUACCUAAUAAUUAAACACACAAUAAUAAAGUGUUCAAUUCAUAUUGUUUUAUGUCCCGUGGUUUGUUUCUAGGAUUGUGGUAAUAAAGACUGAUUGGAUCAGUCUAGUACAGUUGUUGUUUGAAUUUGUAAUUUUGUGUAACGGCAUUGUCAUCUUGUUGAGAUUAAUAGGAGUUAAUUUGUUUAAUUAAUUAUUCAUGAGUUUCUUAUAAGAUACCUUCCUUCGUUCCGUAAAAAUAGUCAUAAUUUUUCAUUUUAGAACGUCCAUAAAAAAAUAGUGUUAUUCCAUUUAUAAACAAUUUAGAUCCUUACCUUUGGGAUGAGAUAAAAUGAAAUUCCAUUUUAAAUCAUAAACUAGCUAUAUAGGAAGCAUUUUCAGCUCUUGAAUUCAUCUGUUGUUCGAAUUUCAUAGGAAGCAAGUUUUUUUGACUCAUUAUUUUCACAGCGAAUUCAUCAUGUUACACAUACCCUAAAGUGAUAUAUUUACCCUAUUUGAUAACAUGAUAAGUAUAUUUGAAGCGCUCACUAUUUUAUUUGAACUUUAUUAUCGAGUUUAAACGAGUUUUGAAAUAUUGAAUUAAAUUGAAAUAUCCAUGUUGAUCGUUUAAGAAGCAAAUUUUUGGCAUGGGUUUAUAAAAAAUACAUCCUAGCCUCCAUCCCUAAUAAGUGCGGUGUGAAGGAGUGGGCAAUAGUUCUUUAAAAAUAAUUGAGAGAUGUGUAUAAAGUGGAUAAAAUGGCUUACUAGAGCUGAUUUGUUAGGCCUUACUUUCUCUCUGCCCCACUAAAAUAAGCUCAAUUCUUUUGAGAACAUAGAUUAAUAAACUUUCUUUUGAGAAGAAAAUUAAAGUGGUGGCAAAAGUAAUGUGGUCCAUACCAAUUAAGCAAUUUGAGUACAUUUUUUUUUUCACUCAAAAGGAAAACGAGCCUAUUCUAGCGGGACAUUCCAAAAUAGAAAACGAGCAUAUUCUGCUGGGACGAGGGAAUAAUAAAUUGUUUGUGAGAUGAGUAGUUUGUAAAUAUUGUGUGUGAAAGGUGUAUGUCUUAAAUUGAAAAGACCAUACCUGUAUUGUGAUUGUACGGAAAGGUGGAACUGAGCAUCGCGGCGGCGGCGAGGCAGGAGGCGGCGGUGGUGAGGAGAAUCGAGAGAGAGAGAGAAAGAUGCCAGCAGACAGUGACGGAGGGCAGUGGGCGGCCCUUGGCGGCAGCGGAGACGACAAGGUACUGGCUGUGCCAGAAUUAUUUAGUUGCAUAGGAUCCUUCCAAAUGUAAUUACUGAUUCACUGUUGGAUUAACAAGAAUUAAAUUACUUCAUAAUACAGUAUUCCAACUGUUCGAUAAAAGCCCUUAAUGAAAUCUUCCAUAGAUUACUUUGCAAAGUUCAUAAAAUUACUCAAAAGCAUUGUUGCAUAGUCCGUACAUAGAGAUGGUCGAUUAUCUUAAUUAUGUCUAGAUUUAUUUACGACACACACACACACACAUCACAAAAUCACACAUACUGACUAAUAAGGUUCCCGAAAGCCGGCAUUAUUAGGCGCCAUGGUGGCCGUGAAAUACCAUGAGACGAUAUCAUGGGUGGUGGGUCCGUCUAGUCUGGUGGCGGCGGAGAGCCCUACCUGAACCUGCUAAGGAAGAAAGCCGCUCAAAUCAUACUCAUAGCUGACUUCAAACGUCUUCGAGCCGGCGGUGGCACGGACGGCGAUCUACUUUGUGGAGGCGGCGUAGUUGAUCCUCGCCGUCACCUGCUGCUCGAGUAUGGAGCCGUCGACCUCCGUCGUGUUUCGGGAUGACCUAGACCCGAUGUCGAUGCCGAUGUGGGGAUAGUUCGGAUCCCACGCGCUGUUGACGUAGGUGUCGAACUCGACGGCAAAUACCGAGGGGUUGCUGCCGGAGGAGCCGAAGAUUCCGAGGUUGGCCCCGCUGGAGCCGGUGGGGAUGGUGGAGCGGCGAGAUUGGUGAUGCUGGGUGUGGUGAUGAAGUUUACGGUGGUUUCAAAGUCGACUUGGCCACCGGCUUGGGAGAAUUGGACCGGGUUCGUGUACAAGACCCGGCCGACACUACCGAUCUGCGGUCGCCUUGGUAGGUGAGGUCGGUCGGCUGGUUGUCCCAGAAGUUAUAGGCGAAGGCCGUUGAUCGGGACUUCGCCCUGUUGGUGGCGACGGCGAGAAGAAGGGCGAUGGAGAUUAGGGUUUGGAGAAGGUUGGCCAUGGCUUAGUUGUGCAGUGAAUGAUGUCUACUACUUGCUCCUAUUUAUAAUGAUCGAAAAUAUCUACUACUUACCUACCACAGAUCCACAUCAGGGGCCCUGGAUGGGGUGGUCGACUACAUAAGCCCAAAAAAAUAAGGGCUCGGAAAAUAUAUAGAUCCAUGUAAGUAUUAUAUAUAUGUAUAAAAUAAUUAAAAGCCAACUAAUGAUUGAAUUGAUUAACUUGGCGCAGUGGAAAAAGGACAUUUUUAAUUCCUCUUAAUUACCAAUAUUUUAUUUAGUGACCAAUUUUUUUGUUUAGAUAUAGGGCCCAGCCCCUAUUUUGAUAAAUUAAGUGUAUGUAUUUCAAAUUAACAUUAUUUUAAGUUGUCGAAUUUUUUUGUUAAGAUUUAGGGUCCAGCCCCUAUUUUGUUAAAUUAACUUUAUUUUAAGUGAAUGACAUAAUUAUUAAUAUAUUUAUUAAUUAUUAUGUAAUUUGAUAAAAAAAUGUUUUAAAUAAUUUUAGUUUAUAAUUAAUUUAUUUCUCAAUUAUAAAUAAAUGGCCUAAAUUAAAAAAUUCGCAAAGGGCCUAUGUUCUCUUAGCCCUACCCUUGCACUGUUGCACAUGGUAUAUAUAUCUAUUCUAUGAAUAUAAGUGAUUAUUUUAUAAACCACGUGAAAGCACUUGUUCCCACUAGCACUAUAAAAGCAAUAAAUACAACGGAAAGAAAAUAAAUUACAAUUGAAUACAUUAGGAGAAAAAUUACUUCUAACCUAUGGAAUUACUAACAACGAUACUUAUACCAAAGCUAAAUUGGACCAACUAACUGUACACUCUUGUAUUAUAUCAACCUACCAGACCUUAGUAUUCACGAGUCUCCCACAGUCUAGACUGAUUCACAAUAUAUACCAACAUUGGAACAAGUUCAGUAAUACACUCUAUUUAUAUAUAUUAUUAUAUACACAAAAAUGCAUGGCUGCUGUGGUAUUACGGAAGGAUCGAGAAUUACUCGAUCCUUGGGAAAAGGUUCAAAUGAAACCUUUAUUAUUACUCUCCGUCCCCCAAAUAAUAUCAUAUCCGAUUUGGGAUAUUACCCCACCACUAAUAAUACUUUAUUUAUUCUAACUUCUCAAUCUUUCACCAUUCUCAAUACUAAUUAUAACACAUUUUCAUCACUUUCAAUACUAAUUAUAAUUUCUUUUCUCCACUGCUAAUACGUACACUUAACAAUUUUUCCUUAAAACCAGUGUCGUCCCCUACUAAGAAGUUAUUUGGGGGACGUAGGGAGUAUUUUUUAAUGAUAUGGCAUCCAAAUAUGUUGUGACAAUCCAGUGAGCAAUAUCAACUUUUUGGAGCUGAAAACCGAUGUGAGGUACAACUAAUACACAAUAUGUUGUGGCAAUCCAGUAAUAUACCCUAAGGAUGCGUCAUCUUUUGUUGUAAAUUUAUCAUGGAAAAAUGAGGGAUAAACAAAAUUUCACCCAUUAAAUCCUUCAUUUUUUCCCUCAUUUCUUACAAAAUAGAAUUUGACCCUUACUCAUUUCUCAUUUUCACUGCAAAGGGGGGCUAAUAUUAUCUCUCUAUUUUUGGUAUAAUGAAGAAUUUGAUACGUAAUUACAAUUAAUUAUAAUGAAGUGUGUAUUUUAGUUGCUCAUAUUCUUGGAUUAUUUAUGCUUUAAUGAAACGAUCCACUGCCUUUAACAUUUUGGCAUUUUAAAGUAAACGCCGAAAUGCAACGAUCCACUGCCUUUUAAGUAAACACCCUUGCUAACCCCUGCAUGCGUUUUUUCAUCAAACACUUGGGUUCAUUCUUUUAGGCAUUUUAUCAAACAGUUGUGCUCAGCCUCAUCCUUUUGAUCACAUUCCCAUAUCUCUCCUUAUAUGAAACCGCAUUUUCUAUUUCUCAUAUAUUUCCUAUAUAAUAUUUCCAUCAUUUCUAGCUCAACAAUAAUUCUUCUAGCAAAAUUAUCAUUUCAAAUGCACUCUUUUCCUUUUCUACUUUCUCUUCUGCAUAACAGAAAUACUAAUCCACCAUAAAAUAAUCAUAACUUUUUCUUAAUGAUACGAUGAGGGCACAAAGUUGAGAUGAUAAAAUCAUACAUAUUGGCGAAUGUUGCCGCCGGCUUCCUCUGACUUUUGGAUGCUGAGGGGAGGGGUGGCGGUGAAAUACCAGGAGUUGAUGAUGAAUUUGAUGGUUGUUUCCAUGUCCACCUGCCGCAGAGACCGAGAUACGAUUUUAGAAACAAACGGCAAAAUUACAAUUUCACAUAUAAAAAAUAAAAGACAAUUAAUAAAGCGCAUAAUAUUGGUAAGAUGCUUCCAACCAAUAGGUCGGGAUUGUAUAUCGUGUGAGUGUGUUUUUCAUUUUUUAGUAAUAACAUGUCGUGCUCGGGGCUUUUUUCCGUAUCUGCCCCUGCUUCCCGUCGUCGUGCCCGACUCGUCGGUUUUUGUCAUGCGGAGGUAGGUGGUGGCGUCGGUGAAGUUGGCGUCGCCUUCCAAGCGUAGGCCUUCCGAAUGUGGCGGCUUUUGGUAGAAGUCGUAGGUGAAGGAGACUGCAUCGCCGACCGACACGGUGGCGAGGAGGAGGGCGAUGGAGGAGAGGAGAGGAAUUAAGGUUUGGAGAAGGUUGGCCAAUUUGAUUAAAUGUAUUUGGAUGUAGUGGAUGAUGGUGUAUCGAUCUCUUGCUCCUAUUUAUAGUUGUAAAUAUAUAUUAAUAAUGGUAUCAUUCAAUCAUUAUACUUUAGGCCGGCCGGGCCGGAUCCUCUAUUCCAAAUUCUAUGUCUCAUUGUUCAUAUUCACUAUUAAUUUCACUAUUUCAAUAAUUAAAAAAAUUCAUAGAGUUUGGGGCAGAGGAUCCCGUUUGAAUCCCACAUGGAUCCUCUGUCCCAUAACUUAUUGUGUUCCUUCCCAUUAUUAAUCUCGAUAUUAUAUUUCUACUUUGGAGUUAAUUCAUUAUAAACCCAUGAAAGAUCAGACGAAAUUCAUCCAAUAAACAUUUAUAAAUUUAUAUUUAAAUUUUGUUUCGCGGGUAUCUGAUAGAUAAUAGGUAUUCGUGGGUGGCGAAUUUGGGUAGCAUUUGAUAUUCAUAGAUAGUUUCAUGAUUAAAAUCCAAUAUUCAUUUAGUUCACGGGUAUGGUAUGACAGCCACUAUCUGUGUACGUCAUACCUGAUUGCCAGUAUGACAAAUAUAAAAGUUGUGAGAUGCACAGCAGCUUAAUUAUUCAAAUAGAAAUAUCAUCACAUGUGCAUUGAUAUUUCACAAAAUAAAUACUACUACUAAUAAAUACUCCCUCCGUCCACCAAAGAUAUGCCACUUUACUUUCGGUACGAGUUUUAAUAAAAUGUGAGUGAAGUUGGUAGUGGAGUAAGGGUCCCACUUUAAAUGUGAGUGGAAUGGUAUGGACCUUACUACUAAAAAUGGAUGUGGCAUAUUUUUCGUGGACGAACGAGAAAGAAAAUUGUGGCAUAUCUUUGGUGGACGGAGGGAGUAGUACUCAUUGAUAAUGCAUGCCAACACAUGGUUCUUGCAAGUCAUAUAUAUACCUCAUCAGCAAUAUAGUAAAAUGAUGAUUUGACAACCAGAUUAAGACACCAAUUAUUCUUGUCGGGACACAGACAUAUAUGCAUAUAGAAUUAAUAUUAUUUACUAUUUCGUUUAUACACGUGAAUUAUGCUUUGGAUGCAACAUCGCCACGUCUCUUUCAUUUAUACUUCUCUAGUGUAUUGCGGACAAAAUAGUUAGUGUCUUUAAGAAAUUAAAAAUUUUCAAAUACAUAAGAAAGAAUAAUUAAUCUAAUUGGUGCGCCGGCAACUAAAACUUUUUUCAAUUCACUUUAUAUUUUAUAUACUCCCUCCGUCCACGAUUUAAUGCCCCAUUUUAGUGUGGGCACGGAGACUAAGAAAACUGAAAAAGGUGAUGUGAAUGAAAUAUAAGGGUAGUUGACUAAAGUGAUAAAGAUGCUGUGAGUGGGUUCACUAGUGAUAAAGUAUAGGAAAUAUAGAAUAUAAAAAUGAUAAAGGUGUUUUAAGUUGGGUCCAUUAGUGGCAAAGAGUAAUAAAUAUAGAAAAAGAAGAGUAAAAAAGUACAAAAAGCAUAAUAGGGCUUUAAUUUGUGGACAAAAAAUUAAGAGCAAGUAGGGCUUUAAAUUGUGGACGGAGGGAGUAUUUAACAUUACAAGUCAAUUGCUUGCAGAAUUUGAGCUUGUCUCCCGUGAUGGAGACCUCACCAUGCGGCAACCCGUGCCUGCGCCUGCCUUUUUUCUUCCCGUCUUGCUCUAUCCAGAUAUUAUACGUGAUCCAACUCUUUCCAGAUAUUAUACGUAAAUGAUAAUUUUACUAACAAAAAUUACACUUUUUAUCAAUAACAAAUGAAACUAUGCAUACAAAACAGGAGGUAAAUGAUAUUUUUCUUAAUAACAACUGAUACUUUUUCAAUGCAAAUAAUACUUCGCAAAUGAUAUUUUAAUAUAAAAGUAAAUGAUACUUUGUAUAAAAAUAAAUGUUAUAUUACAAAUGACACUUUUAAUGCAUACCAAUGACACUUUUAAUAACAAAAAUUGAGAAAAAAAAAUUAGAAUUCGGCCUUAAUUAAAAUUUGGACAACAUUUAUUUGGGCAAAGAAGAAAAACACCUGAAUUUUUUUUUUUCCUUUUUUGAGAGAGAAAAACUCAUGAAAUUUCAUGCAAAAGGUAAUGCAUAGCCAACCGGGCUCAAUCAUCUUUCGGCGGUUUUGGUUUGAUUCUUCCAACAUCUAGGGUAGCAUUCACACAAAAUCAACUCGUGUUCAAAAAUCUGAAAUUAAAAUUAACGAUGUGUCUCAGUAUAGAGAUAAGAACAUACCCCUCAAAUGGUUCGAGCCAAGGUCUAAUUCCUUCAGCAGUGUGAUAUUCCAAAUUUGAGUAGGCAUAUAUCCGCCAAAGUUGUUGUCUGACAAGCGAAUACUCUCAAGUUGUGGACAUUGGUACAAACUCGAUGGUAUAUCUCCUUCCAAAUUGUUAAAGGAUAGGUUCACUAGUUUAAGUCUUUGAAGGUUAUUGUACGUGCNUAGACAACAAGAAAUAUCUAUUGUCUAUUCUAUGACAAAAAAAUUAAAAAAUUCUAAUAUAUCUGCAUCCCUGUAUUACAAUACCAAUAUAUAUGAAAAAAUAAAAAUAAUUAAAAAUCAAAUAAUCAAACAAUACUUAUAAACCACUAAUACUCACAAUCAAAUAUUUACACAUCAGUGUAAAUAUUGGGUUCGAGUCCUCUGCGUGUGUUGAUCAAGCGGUAAGGGGUUAAUGCCUAAGGUCAAAGGUCUGGGAUUCGAGUCCCCUGUGGUGUAGCCUUUUAAUUUCGUUAUUUAAUAUUGUAAAUUUAUAAAAAAAAAAAAGUAUAUUUACACAUCAACAAUUGUAUUAUCUUUAAUACGCCUUCAUUCAUCUAAUAAAAAAAAUCUCUAAUAAAAUCUCCAACUAACUCCGGUCAUGAUCAUCUCUUGAAGGCGGAGGAAGGUGGAGUCCGUCGGGAAAUGGGUACUGCCUUGAUAGAUGAGAUCUUUCGGCUGGUCGCCCCAGAAGUCGUAGGUGAAGGACGUCGUUUGGGACAACGCCGUGUUGGAAACGGAGAGGAGGAGGACGAUGGAGGAGAGGAGAGGAGUUAAGGUUUGAAGAAGCUGGUUGGCCAUGGCUUAAUUGAUUUAGAUUUAGAGAUGUGGUGGAUGAUGGUGGUAUCGAUCUCUUGCACCUAUUUAUACUAGUAUGGUUCAUGCCUGUUAAUAAUUGUAUAUAUCAAUCAUCGUGCAUCUAUCCCAAAUUAUAUGUCUUAUUAUUCACUAAUUAGAUGGAUUAAAUCCUGAUUAGUAACCAUAAAAUUAAACUGUCAAUGAGGCCUUGCUCUAGUGGCAAAGCUGUGACACCGAAUAACUUUUCUUUGUGAAAUGUCUUGGGUUCAAUCUCGCCUGCAUGCGGUGAUGUGUGUCCAUUUUAGGUGGUGUGGUAUUCUUGUCUGCGUGCGGUGUUGUAUUGUUUAGUGUUGAGGUCCCACAUGCAGAGCGUUCUUGCCUGUGUACGUGUCACAGCCCAAAACCAUUUAUUUUCUUUACAAAUUUUAUAUAUGAAAAUUAUUUAAUUUUUAAGUUAUAGAGUUUUUGAAAUAUAUAUAGUAUCAAUUUUAUGUUAACUUAGUCGUGUCCCUAAUUAAAAGAAUGACUUUAAAAUAAAACUUAAGCCUUAAAAAUUUAAUCUACAUUCAUAUAUAACUGAAAUUACAUGCAUGUCUAAAUAUUAUUUAUAAUUAUCAAUAACAAGAUUAAUGAUUCUAUAUCUCUAUGUUUAUACAUGUAUUCACGUAUGACAUAGUAUAUAUUAGCUAUUAAGUUAAAAACUAAUAAAAUACUACACUUUUGCAUAGGAUAUAUAUUUAAUUAGUAGUAGGAUAGGACACGUGUAUUAAUUUUAAGGGCAAGUAAUCAAACUUUUGAAUGAUUCAUCAUGCUUAAAAAAAAAAGAGACCUAGAUAGAUGAUUCAUCAGAUUCAAAAACAAGUAUAAAUAGACUUCGGGUUUGAAAUUUUAAUUAAUUUGCAACAACAAUUCAAACUGACUGUAUUAAGGUAAGUAGUUACAGAUUUCAUACACAUAUUAUAUGAUUUCGCACACAUAUUAAGGUAAGUAUAUAUAAAUAUUUUUUAAAAUCAUAUAUUAUAUAAUAAUUAUAUUUAAGUUUUAUAUUAUUCUUUAUAAACUAUUGUUUCAUUCUAUAUAAUUAGGUGUGGCACGACUAGGACGUAACUUUCUAUUGAAUUUCUCAAGUUAAUCUUAGAGUUCAAGUUUCAGGUGUGAGAUUUAUUUAAAUACAUGUCGUACGUGGUUAUUUAUUGUCCAUUUUAAUAAGAUGUGUUUACCAUAUGUGUUAUGACGCAUAUUUUUAGGAUAUCACUAGGUGCCCAUAAAUAGGAUCCAGGACUUCACCGUCCUUGGAUUGCCACAAUGCGAUUUGAGGUUUAUUUUGAGGAUGUCGUUAGGGGCCCGUACAUAGGGUCCAGGACUUUAAUAGUCAUUGGGUUGCCAUAGUGCAAAUAUUGAGGAUAUAUAUGAAGUGACCGUAUGUGUUACCGUUUCAUUAACGUGGACAAUGAUUGCAUGUUUAAGAGACAAUAACCAAUUUUUCAGACAUUUGUGAACAAAAUGAAGCAUGUUUAGAGAUCCUUAAUACAGGUGUACGAAAUGAUGGAUAAAUAAGUUUGUGAAACAAAUUUCACCAUACCUAACCCCACAAUUAUUUGCGGUCGAAUUUCCUCGUCACAGGAAAAAGAGAUGAUGACAAAAGGGAAAAAAUUAAUUAACAAAGUAGAAGAUGCAUGACAACUGUAAAAGAAAAAUAAUGCUACUAAUUAAAUAGUCCAAACUUCAUACGUUUCAUAUCAUAAGUGGCAGUUCUAUUUUUUUUUUUGCGAAUGUGAACAAAAUAACGAAUAAUUUUUAAAGUAAUAGUAAUAAGGAGAUGUGUUUUGACAGAAAACGACAUGAGCGGCCUAAAAAUAAGAGGGAAAAAGAUAAUCAUAUAAAUAUUCAAAAUCAAACGGAUUGGCAUGUAUUCAUCAUUUUUUAUUUUUUAUUUUGAUAAUUUAACAGUACUCCCUCCGUCCGUCAAAAGUAGACCACUUUGGUUGGGCACGGGAUUUAAUAAAAUUAGUGAUGAUUUUGAUGUAGUAGAGAAAGAGUUCCACCACUUUAUGAGAUGUGUGGUUGAGAUUGAAUUUGUUGUGAUUUUUUUGUAAAUAAAGAGUGUUUGUAAGGAUAAAAGAUUAAAGUGGGUGGUGGGACCAUUUCCAUAAAAGGAAAGUGGUCUACUAUUUGCGGACGCCCAAUAUAGUAAAAGUAGUCUACUUUUGGCGGACGGGGAGAGUAUUAAAUAAAUAAAUUUAAAGGUUGCACCCCUUACUGCUUGGCUUUUAGAUUAUGUUAUAAUAAUAAAAUUAACAGCACGUUUACAAUAUAAAAUUAAUUAUGAUAAAUACAAUAUAUUAAUAAUAAAUACUCAAUUACCUCUUAACAUAAUUCGCGCAUCAUGGCUUUUAGCUUAUAUUAUAAAGAUAUAAUAUGUUGUCUAUAAUAAUCGACGGAAGGUAAUAGACAACAUGUUUUAUAUGUUGUCUAUAAUAAUAUAGACAGUAGAUCUAGUGUUAUAGAUAACAAUUAAUACUUGUUGUCUAUAUGAUGAUAGACACCAAAAAUCUCUGUUGUCUAUUCUAUGACAAAAAAAUUUAAAAAAAUUCUAAUAUAUUUACAUCCCUGUAUUACAAUACCAAUAUAUAUGAAAAAAUAAAAAUAAUUAAAAAUCAAAUAAUCAAACAAUACUUAUAAACCACUAAUACUCACAAUCAAAUAUUUACACAUCAACAACUGUAUUAUCUUUAAUUACGCCUUCAUUUAUCUAUUAAAAAAAAUCUCUAAUAAAAUCUCUAACUAACUCCGGUCAUCAUCUCUUGAAGGCUUAGAAAAUGUCCAAAUACAGCGGCACAUGCUCAUUAUUGUGUGAGCGAUGAGAACUUUGCGCUGAACCUAUAAAGUAACUAUACUUAACUGGUAAAGUAAUUGUAUCCCGUGAAUCUAAAGGAAGACUACACACGUUGAUAGAGUUUGAAAGAAAAGAAUAAAGAGAAUGAAAAUCCAAAGAAUUUGCUUCUUCCGUUGAACAAUCCCUACACAACAUUGAAAUAUCAAUGAAAAUAAUGGCUAUCGUAUACUCCCUCCAUCCAUGAAAGAACUUCAUAGGAGGGAGUGACACGGGUUUUAAGAAAAAAUAUUGUUAAGUGUAUUGAGAGUGGAUAAAAGGUAGUUGAGUGUAUUGGGAGUGGUGAAAAUGUGUUAUAGUUAAUAUUGAGAGUUGUGAAAAGUGAAAAGUAAGAGGAUUAUAAGUGGUGGGGUAUAGUCCAAAAAUAGGUAGGAAGUUCUUUUGUGGACGUCCCAAAAAGGAAAGAUAUGAAGUUCUUUCGUGGACGGAGGGAGUAUUAUUUUGCAGCAGCAACCACGUUUGAAAACUCGAUCCCUCUGUUCUUGAAUUUGUGAAAUUUCCGACUGAUUUAUUAGAUUCACCAUUUAUUUCAGUUUAAUUAGUCUAUAUAUAGAUAUUUCUUAUAUUAUUAAAUUGUUAACCUCAUGGUAGAUUUCAAGAUUUGAAAAUUCAACAAAGAGCUUGAGAAUUAUUGAGAUUGGAAGGGGAAGAUGAAACAUAAUUGGGUGAAAUUAGAAACCAAUUAAAGUCACAAGAUUGAACAAAAACAUAACUUAAAAACACAAAAUAAGCAAAUCGUAGAUGCAGUAUCUUGCAAGAAAAAGUUCAUAUUCCCAAGGCUAUGAUGAGCACGAAUUAGGGUGUGUCUGCAUUUUAUCCCUCUAAAUAGAGGAAUAACAAAAUUUUAUUCUUUAAAUGUUUGCUUUCUUAUCACACAUUCUACACAAACACCAUUUUUUCUUCCUUAUUUUCACUUCAAGGAGGANUAAUAUUAUCCCUCCAAUUUUGGUGUGAUAAUAUUAUCUCUUCUUGAAGUGAAAAUAAGGAAGAAAAAAUGGUAUUUGUGUAGGAUGUGGGAUAAGAAAGCAAACAUUUAAAGGUAUAAAUUUUUGUUAUUCCUCAUUUAGAGGAAUAAAAAGCAAACACACAUUAGAGUCUACUUACAAUUUAGGCGCAGGCUGUGCGAGAAUUACUUAGUCGAAUAGGAUCCUAAGUAUUUAUAUUUCUCAUGUUCUUGUGUAUUUUUUUACUGAUUCACUAUUGGAUUAACAAGAAUUAUCUUACUUUAAAUUUCUUGCUUUAAAAAAAAAAAAGAAUUAUCUUACUUCAUGUAUGGUAUGCCAACUGUUCGAUAAAGGUCCUUUUAGAAAUCUUCUAUUGAUUACCUUGCGAAGACCACAAAACUAGACACACCCAAAAGCAUUCUUGCAUAGUUUAUACAUAGAGAUGGCCGAUUGAUGAUCGUCUUAUUUGUAGACUUAACGCGAGCAGACUCGAUCGCUUAGUCCUUAUUGAUUUACGACACACAUGCUCACACACACACAUACACACAUCACAAAAUCACACAAAUUGACGGAUAAUGUUGCCGUUCAGCUCCUUCCUGAACCUCACCGCGGCAUUUUUCUGCACCAUAGUGGCCGUGAAAUACCACGAGACGAUGUCAUGGACGGCGACGUGUUGUCCGGUGGCGGCGGAUAGCCCGACCUGAACCUGCUGAGGAACAAAGUCGCUCAAAUCGUACUCAUAGUUGACAUCAAAUGUCUGCGAGCCGGCGGUGACUUUCACGGAGAUCAUCCUUGUGGCUCCGACGUAGUUGAUCCGCGCAGUCACCUGCUGCCCGAGUAUGGAGUUGUCGACCUUCGUCGUGUUGCUGGAUGCCCUAGAGCCGAAGUCGAUGCCGAUGUGGGGAUAGAGCGGAUCCCACGCGCCGUUGACGUAGGUGUCGAUUUCGACGGCGAAGACCGAGGGGCUGUUGCCGUUGGAGCCAAAGAUUCCGAGGUUGGCUCCGUUGGAGCCAGGGGGGAUGGUGGAACCGACGGGGGCAAUGAAGAAGGCGAGGCCGUCGGCAGGCUCGUUGUCGGCGCCCGGGGUGAUGAUGAAGUUCACAGUGGUUUCGAAGUCGACCUGCCCACCGGACUGCGAGAAUUGGACCGGGUUCGAGUGCAAGACGCGGCCGACUUGUGAGGGCUGUGCGUCUGUGAGGCGGAGGAAGGUGGAGUCCGUCGGGAAAUGGGCGCUGCCUUGAUAGAUGAGAUCUUUCGGCUGGUCGCCCCAGAAGUCGUAGGUGAAGGACGUCGUUUGGGACAACGCCGUGUUGGAAACGGCGAGGAGGAGGGCGAUGGAGGCGAGGAGAGGAGUUAAGGUUUGAACAAGCUGGUUGGCCAUGGCUUAAUUGAUUUAGAUUUAGAUUUAGAGAUGUGGUGGAUGAUGGUGGCCAGGUAUCGAUCUCUUGCACCUAUUUAUACUAGUAUGGUUCAUGCCUGUUAAUAAUUGUAUAUAUCAAUCAAUCAUCGUGCAUCUAUCCCAAAUUAUAUGUCUUAUUAUUCACUAAUUAGAUGGAAUAAAUCCUAAUUAGCAAUCUUAAAAUUACACCGCCAAUGAGGCCUUGCUCUAGUGGUAAAGCUGUGGCACCGAAUAACUUUUCUUUGUGAAAGGUCUUGGGUUCAAUCUCGCCUGCAUGCGGUGAUGUUUGUCCAUUUUAGAUGGUGUGGUAUUCUUGCCUGCGUGCGGUGUUGUAUUAUUUAGUCUUAGGCGUUCUUGCCUGUGUGCAUAUCACUGUGUGACAAUUAAAAGAAUGACUUUAAAAUAAAAGUUAAGCCUUAAAAAUUUAAUCUACAUUCAUAUAUAACUGAAAUUACAUGCAUGUCUAAUUUUUUUAAUAUCAUAACAAGAUAAGAUUUAUUAAAUAAUUCAGAUGCAUAAAUAAAAAGUUAAUCUAUAAACACAGUAUAGAUAUAUUAUCAAUGAUAGGCCGUGUAUAAGUCUUAAUCUGUAAAACUAUAUCAUCCCAGCCUUAAACGACUACCAUUCCUGCUUUCCCAGAGCAACCACACUGUUCCCACCCACAAAGCUUUAAGCAGUACAUGCAUGUCUAAAUAUUAUUUAUAAUUAUCAAUAACAAGAUUAAUGAUUCUAUAUCUCUAUGUUUAUACAUAUAUUCACGUAUGACAUAGUAUAUAUUAGCUAUUAAGUUAAAAACUAAUAAAAUACUACAGUUUUGCAUAGGAUAUAUAUUUAAUUAGUAGUAGGAUAGGACACGUGUAUUAAUUUUAAGGGCAAGUAAUCAAACUUUUGAAUGAUUCAUCAUGCUUAAAAAAAAAAAGAGACCUAGAUAGAUGAUUCAUCAGAUUCAAAAACAAGUAUAAAUAGACUUCGAGUUUGAAAUUUUAAUUAAUUUGCAACAACAAUUCAAACUGACUGUAUUAAGGUAAGUAGUUACAGAUUUCAUACACAUUAUAUGAUUUCGCGCACAUACGUAUGUAUAUAUAAAUAUUUUUUAAAAUCAUAUACUCCCUCCGUCCCCAAAAUAAGUUCCUCUUUGGGGACGGCACGGAUUUUAAGGAAAAGUGGUAAAGUGUAUUAAUAGUGGAGAAAAAUAUGUUAUAAUUAGUAUUGGAAGUUGUGAAAAGGUGAAAAAGUGUUAUAAUUAGUAUUGGGAGUGGUGAAAAAGUGAAAAGUAAGAAUAAAUAAAGUAUUAUUAGUGGUGGGGUAGUUGUCCAAAAAUGGAAAAAAAGAAAGAGGAACUUAUUUGGGGGACAUCCCAAAAUGGAAAAAGAGGAACUUAUUUCAGGGACGGAGGGAGUAUUAUAUAAUAAUUAUAUUUAAGUUUUAUAUUAUUCUUUAUAAACUAUUGUUCCAUUCUAUAUAAUUAGGUGUGGCACGACUAGGACGUAACUUUCGAUUGAAUUUCUCAAGUUAAUUUUCAAGUUCAAGUUUCAGGUGUGAGAUUUAUUUAAAUACAUGUCAUGAUUAUUCAUUGUCCAUUUUAAUAGUAUGUGUUUACCAUAUGUGUUAUGACGCAUAUUUUGAGGACAUCGCUAGGAGCCCAUAAAUAGGGUCCAGGACUUCACCGUCCUUGGAUUGCCACAAUGCGAUUUGAGGUUUAUUUUGAGGAUGUCGUCAGGGGCCCGUAAAUAGGGUCCAGGACUUUAAUAGUCAUUGGGUUGCCACAGUGCGAAUAUUGAAGAUAUAUAUGAAGUGACCGUAUGUGUUACCGUUUCAUUAACGUGGACAAUGAUUGCAUGUUUAAGAGACAAUAACCAAUUUUUCAGACAUUUGUGAACAAAAUGAAGCAUGUUUAGAGAUCCUUAAUAAAGGUGUACGAAAUGAUGGAUAAAUAAGUUUGUGAAACAAAUUUCACCAUACCUAACCCCACAAUUAUUUGCGGUCGAAUUUCCUCGUCACAGGAAAAAGAGAUGAUGACAAAAGGGCAAAAAUUAAUUAACAAAGUAGAAGAUGCAUGACAACUGUAAAAGAAAAAUAAUGCUACUAAUUAAAUAGUCCAAACUUCAUACGUUUCAUAUCAUAAGUGGCAGUUCUAUUUUUUUUUUGCGAAAGUGAACAAAAUAACGAAUAAUUUUUAAAGUAAUAGUAAUAAGGAGAUGUGUUUUGACAGAAAACGACAUGAGCGGCCUAAAAAUAAGAGGGAAAAAGAUAAUCAUAUAAAUAUGGGUUAAUUGCCUCUAAAUACACCACCUUUCCUUGAAUUCUACAAUUGCACAUCACCUUUAAAAUCCGCCCUUAAAUACACCACCUUUCCUUGAGUUCUACAAUUGCACAUCACCUUUAAAUCCGCCCCAAAAUACAUCAUCUUUAUAUUUUUUCUGUUUUUGCACAUGACUAAAAAAUUCUCAAGAAAUAAAUUAAAGUGUUAAUUUAUAAAUUUAAAUAUCUUUUUAGCAGCGAAAACAUAAUAAAAUAAAAUUCUUUAUAAAGUUUAAAAUCAUAUAUAUAUAUAUAUAUAUAUAAGUAUUUUCGUAAAGAAAUAAAUUCUCUAAUAAAUUUUUAGAAAGAACUUGAAUUAAAAAAAUAAACAAGUCAUGACAUUAAGAAAAUAAAAUGAAAUUUUUAUUUUAAUAAAUUUCACACGAAUUCGAUAUAAUUUGGAAUUUAGAGUUACAAUAAUCAGAAGUACCACAUGAAUAAUAUAAUGAGUUUGAAAGAAAUUUUUUUUAAAGAGGUUCGACACGCCCAUUCGACUUUCCACGCGCCUCCAAUGUCAUUUACCUGAAAUAUUAANUAUAUAAGUAUUUUUCGUAAAGAAAUAAAUUCUCUAAUAAAUUUUUAGAAAGAACUUGAUUAAAAAAUAAACAAGACAUGACAUUAAGAAAAUAAAAUGAAACUUUUAUUUUAAUAAAUUUCACACGAAUUCGAUAUAAUUUGGAAUUUAGAGUUACAAUAAUAAAAAGAACCACAUAAAUAAUAUAAUCAGUUUGAAAGAAAUAUAUAUAUAUUUUUUUAAAGAGGUUCGACGCGCCCAUUCGACUCUCCACGCGCUACCAAUGUCAUUACCUGAAAUACUAAAUAUGGGAUAAGCAUACAUAAUAUACUUAGUGUGGGAACAUGCAAUUAUUGUCCACGUUAAUAAAAUAGUAACACAUACGAUCAUAACAUUCAAAACGACACAAUUUUGCCAAUAUGGAAGCCACGUCAUUUAAAGUGGUAACACCCUAAUCUAACUAAAGUGUUAAAUAUAAAUUUAAAGCGGAAAUAUAAUAAAAUAAAGUUCUUUAUAAAAAUAAAUAAAGAAUUUUAUUUUAUUAUAUUUCCGCUGCUAAAAAAGAUAUUUAAAAUUUAUAAAUUAACACUUUAAUUUAUUUCUUGAGGAUUUUUAAGUCAUGUGCAAAAACAGAAAAAAAAUAUAAAGGUGAUGUAUUUUGGGGCGGAUUUAGAAUUCAAGGAAAUGUGGUGUAUUUAGGGGCGGAUUUUAAAGGUGAUGUGCAAUUGUAGAAUUCAAGGAAAGGUGGUGUAUUUAGGGGAAAUUAACCCUAUAAAUAUUCAAAAUCAAACGGAUUGGCAUGUAUUCAUCAUUUUUUAUUUUUUAUUUUGAUAAUUUAACAGUAUUAAAUAAAGAAAUUUAUAGGCUGCGUCCCUUACUGCUUGGCUUUUAGAUUAUGUUGUAAUAAUAAAAUUAAAAGCACGUUUACAAUAUAAAAUUAAUUAUGAUAAAUACAAUAUAUUAAUAAUAAAUACUCAAUUACCUCUUAACAUAAUUCGCGCAUCAUGGCUUUUAGCUUAUAUUAUAAAGAUAUAAUAUGUUGUCUAUAAUAAUCGACGGAAGGUAAUAGACAACAUGUUUUACUUCUUGUCUAUAAUAAUAUAGACAGUAGAUCUAGUGUUAUAGAUAACAAUUAAUACGUGUUGUCUAUAUGAUGAUAGACACCAAAAAUCUCUGUUGUCUAUUCUAUGACAAAAAAAUUUAAAAAAAUUCUAAUAUAUUUACAUCCCUGUAUUACAAUACCAAUAUAUAUGAAAAAAUAAAAAUAAUUAAAAAUCAAAUAAUCAAACAAUACUUAUAAACCACUAAUACUCACAAUCAAAUAUUUACACAUCAACAAUUGUAUUAUCUUUAAUUACGCCUUCAUUUAUCUACUAAAAAAAAUCUCUAAUAAAAUCUCUAACUAACUCCGGUCAUCAUCUCUUGAAGGCUUAGAAAAUGUCCAAAUACAGCGGCACAUGCUCAUUAUUGUGUGAGCGAUGAGAACUUUGCGCUGAACCUAUAAAGUAACUAUACUUAACUGGUAAAGUAAUUGUAUCCCGUGAAUCUAAAGGAAGAAUAAACACGUUGAUAGAGUUUGAAAGAAAAGAAUAAAGAGAAUGAAAAUCCAAAGAAUUUGCUUCUUCCGUUGAACAAUCCCUACACAACGUUGAAAUAUCAAUGAAAACAAUGGCUAUCCUAUACUCCCUCCAUCCAUGAAAGAACUUCCUAGGAGGGAGUGACACGGGUUUUAAGAAAAAAUAUUGUUAAGUGUAUUGAGAGUGGAUAAAAGGUAGUUGAGUGUAUUGGGAGUGGUGAAAAUGUGUUAUAGUUAAUAUUGAGAGUUGUGAAAAGUGAAAAGUAAGAGGAUUAUAAGUGGUGGGGUAUAGUCCAAAAAUAGGUAGGAAGUUCUUUUGUGGACGUCCCAAAAAGGAAAGAUAUGAAGUUCUUUCGUGGACGGAGGGAGUAUUAUUUUGCAGCAGCAACCACGUUUAAAAACUCGAUCCCUCUAUUCUUGAAUUUGUGAAAUUUCCGACUGAUUUAUUAGAUUCACCAUUUAUUUCAGUUUAAUUAGUCUAUAUAUAGAUAUUUCUUAUAUUAUUAAAUUGUUAACCUCAUGGUAGAUUUCAAGAUUUGAAAAUUCAACAAAGAGCUUGAGAAUUAUAGAGAUUGGAAGGGGAAGAUGAAACAUAGUUGGGUGAAAUUAGAAACCAAUUAAAGUCAGGAGAUUGAAGAAAAACAUAACUUAAAAACACAAAAUAAGCAAAUCGUAGAUGCAGUAUCUUGCAAGAAAAAGUUCAUAUUCCCAAGGCUAUGAUGAGCACGAAUUAGGGUGUGUCUGCAUUUUAUCCCUCUAAAUGGAGGAAUAAUAAAAUUUUAUGCCUUUAAAUGUUUGCUUUCUUAUCACACAUUCUAAACAAACACCAUUUUUUCUUCCUUAUUUUCACUUCAAUGAGGGAUAAUAUUAUCCCUCCAAUUUUGGUGUGAUAAUAUUAUCCCUCCUACAAGUGAAAAUAAGGAAGAAAAAAUGGUACUCCCUUCGUCCCAAACGAAAUGUCCUGUUUUCCUUUUUGGGCUGUCCCAAACGAAAUGUCCUGUUUCCUUUUUUGGCAAUACACUCUCUCUCUAUACUUAAUAUUUAAAUAAUUUUCACCAACCCACUUUAUCUACUUUAUACACAUUUCUUAAUCUCCGUGCCGAAAAGAAAUGGGACAUUUCGUUUGGGACGGAGGGAGUAUUUGUGUAGGAUGUGGGAUAAGAAAACAAACAUUUAAAGACAUAAAUUUUUGUUAUUCCUCCAUUUAGAGGGAUAAAAAGCAAACACACCUUAGAGUCUAAUUACAAUUUAGGCGCAGGCUGUGUGAGAAUUACUUAGUCGAAUAGGAUCCUUAGUAUUUAUAUUUCUCAUGUUCUUGUGUAUUUUUUCACUGAUUCACUAUUGGAUUAACAAGAAUUAUCUUACUUUAAAAAAAAAAAAGAAAUGAUCUUACUUCAUGUAUGGUAUGCCAACUGUUCGAUAAAGGUCCUUUUAGAAAUAUUCCAUAGAUUACCUUGCAAAGACCACAAAACUAGACACACCCUGCAUAGUUUAUACAUAGGGAUGGCCGAUUGAUGAUCGUCUUAUUUGUAGACUUAACGAGAGCAGACUCGAUCGCUUAGUCCUUACUGAUUUACGACACACAUGCACACAUACACAGAUACACACAUCACAAAAUCACGCAAAUUGACGGAUAAUGUUGCCGGCCAGCUCCUUCCUGCUCCACGCCACGGCAUUUUUCUGCACCAUGGUGGCCGUGAAAUACCACGAGACGAUGUCAUGGGUGGCGACGUGUUGUCCGGUGGCGGCGGAUAGCCCGACCUGAACCUCCUGAGCAACAAAGUAGCUCAAAUCGUACUCAUAGCUGACAUCAAACGUCUGAUUGCCGGCGGUGACUUUGACGGAGAUCAUCCUUGUGGCUCCGACGUAGUUGAUCCGCGCAGUUACCUGCUGCUUGAGUAUGGAGCUGUCGACCGGCGUCGUCUUGCUGGAUACCCUAGAGCCGAAGUCGAUGCCGAUGUGGGGAUAGAGCGGAUCCCACGCGCCGUUGACGUAGGUGUCGAUUUCAACGGCGAAGACCCCGGGGCUGUUGCCGUUGGAGCCAAAGAUUCCGAGAUUGGCUCCGUCGGAGCCAGGGGGGAUGGUGGAGUCGACGGGGGCAAUGAAGAAGGCGAGGCCGUCGGCAGGCUCGUUGUCGGCGCCGGGGGUGAUGAUGAAGUUCACGGUGGUUUCGAAGUCGACCUGCCCAUUGGACAUCCAGAAUUGGACCGGUUCCGAGUACAUGACGCGGCCGACUUGGGACGGUUGUGCGUCUGUGAGGCGGAGGAAGGUGGAGUCCGUCGGGAAAUGGGCGUUGCCUUGAUAGAUGAGAUCUUUCGGCUGGUCGCCCCAGAAGUCGAAGGUGAACGACGUCGUUUGGGACAACGCCGUGUUGGAAACGGCGAGGAGGAGGGCGAUGGAGGCGAGGAGAGGAGUUAAGUUGGCCAUGGCUUAAUAGAUUUAGAUUUAGAGAUGUGGUGGAUGAUGGUGGUAUCGAUCUGUUGCACCUAUUUAUACUAGUAUGGUUCAUGCCUGAUAAUAAUUGUAUCAAUCAAUCAUCGUGCAUCUAUCCCAAAUUAUAUGUC